rnacentral:lncRNA from 1 species
UUUUAUCUAAAAAGACACCAACAGAGCCAGAGCGCUUUUAGCAUCCCUGCAAACACAGAAGUCAGAUCCGAUGUGUAUUCACUGUUCAUGAACUUCAGGUUAGAAAGUCUAUACUGAAAUACAACAUUUCCAUUUUGAAAUAUUAUGCAACUCUGAGUCUCUGACCCAAAUUUAAUGUUGUUCCAUUUAAAAUCAGUUUUUCGAUGUCAUAUGGGUGGUUGAGGUGGUAUGCAAAAUAUGUUUAACCAUUGCAUGGAAAAUGCUAACAAAAUUUACUACUCCCUCCGUUACAAAAAUAUUAGUCUUUGUAGCUAUUGAUUUUUACAUCUAUAUUCAAAUGGAUGAUGAUAAAUCUAGACACACAUAUUAUAUGAAUCCAUUAAAAGGGUAAAACUAAUUUUAAUUUGGGACAGAGGGAGUAUUAAACAAAUUUACCUUUUUGAAUAUACACUUAUGUUUGCCUAAACUAAAGAGACCAAAGAAUGUAAAUUAGGAGAGCAAAUAAGUCAUAAUACCUUGACUUGUUUUAAUUCUGCUAAGCCUAACUUUGAUUCUGUAUUUCUGCUAAUUCUAAAGGGAUGGCGUGGUGUAACGCCCUAAAAAUUAAACAAUACUUAUAAUCCAAAUAUUGUGUGUCCUAUGGAUGAUCGGAGGCCGUAGAUGUAUAGAUCUCAUCAAGAUGGUUCCGAUCAAUCAGUAGUUUGCCUUGUUUGGAGUCUGGAUGAGUCUUUUCGAGUGCCGGUUGAUCUGAGCCAUUGGAUAUUAGGAUUGUGGAAGUUUUCUUUUAUUUAUACCUCCCUAACCCUAGAAGCCACGUCCUCCCACCCCUAGCAGCCAUCACCCUUUUGUGCUUUGCUCCAAGAGAAGAGAUGAAGAAAAAGGGAGAGAAGAGAGGGGAGAUGAGGGCAUACCGUCGCCCAUCGUCGUUGUUCCUCUCCAAGAAUUGGUGGCUGAAAGGGAAAUAGGGUCAAACCUUUUCCUAAAUGAUUUUGGUGGUUGAAUUGCCCAAUACAAAUAAUUGGACUAACUAGUUUGCUCUAGAUCAUACAUUCUAUAGGUGCCAAAGGUUCAACACAAACCAAUCAAAAGAACAAGUUAGGCUUCAAAAGAAAGGAACAAAAAGGAAACUGAAGUGUGCCCUAGUCUAGCGCACCGGACAGUGUUCGGUGCACCAGGGUAAAUAAGCGCAAACUCCUCAGCUUCGGGUUUCCCAGGCGCAGCUCCGCUAUAAUUCACCAGACAGUCCGGUGUGCCACCGGACUGUCCGGUGCACCAGCGGGACAACGGCUACCUGCGCGCAACGGUCGUCUCUGCAAAGUGAACAGUGCAAUUCAGUUGUUAGAGCAGAUGGUCAGAGGGGCACCGGACUGUCCGGUGUAGCACCGGACUAUCCGGUGCCGCAUGAGGACAAAGCCUCCAAUGGUCGACCAGCUCCAAGCCCUAACGGGAGGAUGACGUGGCGGCGCACCAGACACUGUCCGGUGGCGCACCGGACUAUCCGGUGUGCCCAUCGCCAGCAGCCUUCUGCAACGGCUACAAUUUGGUUGGUGGCUAUAAAUACCACCCCAACCGGCCACUUCGAGGUGUGGGAGCCCAAGCAACAUUCCAAGUCAUCGAGUUGACAUAUUCAAGCCCUCCCAACCACCUCUAUUCAUUGAUCCAUCCUAUACACAAGAUUUAGACCACUACAACCAACACAAGUGCCACAAAAGAGAGAGCAAGCAAGAGAGAGCUACUCAUUUGAGUUUAGCACUAGUGCCUUGUGAGAUUCAUUGAGAGAUAGUGUGUGCUACAUCUUUGUGUUCAUUUGUACGUGGAGUUUUGACUCCCAUUGAACUUCCUCCAAAGUUUUGGAGGCUUGUAAAGCUAGCAAGAGACACCAAAGAGUGUGGUGGUCCUUGCGGGGUCUUAAGUGAUCCUUGAGAAGAAGAAGAGCUCGCCGGUCUUGUGUGAUCGGUGGAGAGAGGGAAAGGGUUGAAAGAGACCCGUCCUUAGUGGACUCCUCAACGGGGACUAGGCCUUUGAGGGCCGAACCUCGGUAAAACAAAUCACCCGUGUCUCGUGUGCUUAUUGCUUGUGAUUUGUUUGUUCUUUCCCUUUCUAAGUUUUUCUUGCACUAUUCUUGCUAAUACUAUUUGGUGUUGCUUUAAGUUAAAUCCUCAUUUAGUGAAGCAACACCUUGCAAGAAAGAACUUAUGUUAUUGCUCUUCUUAUCUAAGCCCUCUUGAUUUAUUCUCAUAGACUUAUUAGUAGUAUUGAUUUAUCAAUUCCGCAUUAUUUGAAAGCAAUACUCCUUACAAGCGAAGGACUUAGUUUUUAUACUCCGACAAUUGUGUAUCUUGUUCUAACCACUAAUCAAGGGAUCUAGUUGGGGGUGUAAAGUUAUAAUUUUCAGGUUUCGCCUAUCCACCCCCCUCUAGGCGACUUUCAAUUGGUAUCAGAGCUAGGCACUUCAUAUUGAGUCUAACAACUCGAAGUGAUGGCUCGAGGAAGAUCCCAAAAGAACAAGAAGACACCUCCGAAGAAAAUCAAGGAGGUAACUCUUGAGAUUUUACUUGAUGAUUGUUCUAAUUAUGCUUCAUGGUCUACUAGUGUGAUAAAAGCUUUUAGAACCAUAGAUUCACGAUUAGAACAAUUUUUAGAAAAAAAGUAUCAUACCCUCCAGCUAUAAUAAUAAAAAUAUUUCCGAGGAAGAUCAAAGAUGUAUACGCUUAAACUAUCUAGCUUUUGACAUCCUAGUUAAUUCUCUUAGCAAGGAAGAUUAUCAUGCCUUCAUAAUGAAUCAUUAUGAACAUAUCCCUGAUACGCAUGAUAUUUGGACUAGAAUUAAAAUCAAAUUUGAUGAGUCCAAACAUGAUAGUUCAUUUUAUGCUUCUACUUCCUUUGGUCUUUGUGAUACUAACCCUUGCAAGGAAGAAGAAGAAAAUGACCGAUGGAGACCAAACGAUGAAUCCACCUCUCCAAGAGGUUUGUCUUCCCAUUUUGAUUUCCACAUAUGUUGUGUGGCUAAUGAAAAUGAUAGCGGAAGCACAAACGAGGAUGAGGAGGAAGAAAGAAGCUUCAUGCAACUCUACGCUCGCCUAAGCCAAGAAGAUAAGGCGGUCAUACUCAAACUUCUAGAAAGAGCGAGAGAACAAAGCGAAGCUCGUCAAAGGCUAGAAAAUGUUCUCUCCAUGAAAAUGCUACACUUUGAUGAGUUGACUAAAGAACAUGAGGAGCUAAAGUGCUCUCAUGUUGAUUUGGUCCAAAGGUAUGAAACUAUUUCAAUUGAGCAAGAUAACGCUUUACAUUGUAUCGCUCAAUUAGUAAAUAGGAAUGCCUUGCUUAAGGACCGAGUAGAAAAGCUAAAAGUUGAAAAUCUAGCUUUUCAAGAAAAAUAUGAUAUGCUUCUAUGUUCUCAUGAAAAUCUUAUGGAUAAUCAUAUCAUAUUAAACACUGCUCAUGAGGUUGUAAUAGAAAACUUAAAAUCCCAACAACCUCAACCAUGCACAUGUAUUCAAAUUGAAACUAUAUCAUCAUGUGCUUAUGCUUGUUGUCCAUCGACAAGCAAAUCUUCCCUUGAGCUACAAUUGGCAGGAACAAAAGAUGAGACAUAUCAAAAGCUCAAGGAAGAAAAUAAGAGGCUAAAAAUGAGCUUGACACAACUAAAAGGGAAGUGCAUUGCUCAACCUUCUCAAGAAAACCGUGAUCACAUGGUGAAGAAGCUUGAGACGGGAACAACCGUGGUGAAAGCAUCUAGGCCCCUGGUUGGUUUUAGUGAUUAAUGACAAUGUAAUGUUAUAUGUGACUAACGUAUGUUUUGCAGAGACAAAUGGUAAGUUAGGUCGCAUUACAAGUAGAAGUACUACAACGGUGAAAACAAUCCCGGAGAUAAGAACUCGAAGCGACGGCUAAAACGACGAAACAAAAGGUGAAGGACUACGGAGUCCGAGUGUCAAGGAGAUGUGGACACUCGUGAUUUAGUUUGGUCUUUUAUUCUCUUUUAGCCGUACUAUAAAGAGAGGUUGUCGAUGAGUAGUUUGACCAAUAGAGUUCUAGUGUAGUGUUGGUGCACAUUCACACUCACAUAUAGUGCUAGGUGUCACUCUAGAACUCACUCACAAGUUAGAACGAAAACCGAUUUGAAAAAAAACUGAAAACAGGAAAUAGGGUUUCUGGCCUUGAGGCACCGGACUGUCCGGUGUGCACCGGACUGUCCGGUGCGCCCUCUGCCAGGUGGGGCCAGGCUGGCCUAGGGGAAGGGUUUCCCCGAGCAGAAAACCCGAGAGCGCCAGUUUCAUAAAUGAAUUUUAGUGGCGCACCAGACAGUGCACCGGACUGUCCGGUGUGCCAUCAGCCCAACAGCUAGCUGUCAGAACUAGCCAUUGGAGUCGACCGUUGGCGCACCGGUAGCGCACCGGACUGUUCGGUGCGCCCAUGCGCAUAACAGUGCUGGUAACGGCUAGUUGGUGGGUGUGUGCUAUUUAUACCCCCUCCACCCACCAUAUUCAAUGUCAUGCUGCCCACAUUAAUUCCAGCACAUUGCUAGAGCAUUGCAAGCACCAAAAGCCUAGUGAGGAGAUUAGAGAAUCUUAAUUCCGCAUUUGUUCCUCAUUAGCGCUAGCAAGAGCCACCUAGAGCACACACCACUUGCAUUAGGCUUCUCUUGGUCAAGCGAAAGUCUACGGCUUGUUACUCUUGGUGAUCGGCAUCACCUAGACGGCUUGGUGGUGUUGGGAGCUCGGUGAUCACCGUGAAGAUCUUGUUGGUGACCCGACUGAAGUUUGUAAGCGGCCUCGAGGGAUCCACUGCGCCGGAGUGGCAAAGGAUCAUCUCGUAGUGAGCACUUGGUUCUUGCGAGGACCAAGGGGGAGCGAUACCCUUGUGCGGGUGCUCCAACGAGGACUAGUGGAGAGUGCCGACUCUUCGAUACCUCGGGAAAAAUUGGAGGAGUCUUCUAAACCUUGCUUUACAUUCCGCACUUAAUUCAAGCACUUUACAUUGUGUAUUUGUUUAGCAAGUAUUUGAAGUAUUGUCUUAGCAUUGUUGUAUUUCUAGUAUUAUUAUCUUAGUGCUAGUUGUUGGGGUGAAGUUGGGUCUUGCUUAGCUCUUGCUUAGGUUUUAAUUAGUGUUGAUUUUUAGAAAAGCCCAAUUCACCCCCCUCUUGGGCAUCGUGAUCCUUUCAAUUGGUAUCAGAGCCUUGUUGCUCUUAGAUUAGCUUAACCGCUAGAGUUAUGAUGUCCGGUGGGGAUGGACCUCCUCCCGUUUUUGAUGGUGACGAUUUUCCAUAUUGGAAAAUUCGUAUGGAAGCAUAUUUAGAGUCUAUAGACAUUGGUGUCUAUAAAGCCGCCACACAAGGAUUCCCCGAACCUAGAGAUCACACAAAUCUUGUAGGUGAUGAGUUUAAUUAUGAGAAAUGGAAUACUAAGGCCAAAACACCCUUUUUAGAGGCCUUUGCAAAGAUGUGUUCAAUAGAGUUAGAAAUCAUAAAAAUGCUCAUGAUUUGUGGAUGGACAUUUGUGCUCUACAUGAAGGAACUAGAAGUGAGCGUGAGGAGAGAUAUCACAUUGCUAUGAGAAAGUUAAAUUCUUUUGAAAUGCUUGCUAAUGAAAAUGCCAAUGCUAUGUACUCACGUCUCAAUAUUCUUGUAGAGGAAGUAAAUGGAUUGGGGCUUACUCAAAUCUCACAACCGGAUGUUGUGAGGAAGAUUCUCAGUGUCCUCCCAAUAGAGAAAUAUGGACACAUUGUCACUAUGCUACAUCAAAUGGAUCUUUCAGUUACCACACCUACACAGAUAUUGGAAAAGAUCAAUGCUCAUGAGAUGUACAUGCACAUCAAUGACAAAGAUGAGUCAUCUUCCAAGAGAAAGGAUUUGGCUCUCAAAGCAAAUCAAGAAAGAAAAGGAAAAGCUAAAAUACAAAUUGAGGAAGAAUCCUCAAGUGAUGAUGACCUUGAUGCUAACAUUGCCUUGAUGGUGAGGAAGACCACCAAGAUGUUAAAGAAGCUCAACAGAGAAGGCAUCAAAUUUGAUUCAAGAAAGAAGAAAUUCUUUUUCAGCAAAAGAAAGCCCAUUUCUGAGAUGGAUUGCUACAACUGUGGAGAGCUUGGUCAUCUUGCUCAUCAAUGUAACAAGCCCAAGAAGAACAAGUUCAAGGGAAAGAAAGAAGAUGACAACGAUGAUGAGAAGAAGGAAAAGAGAUUCUUCUAGAGGAAGGAUGGGAAGCAAAAGAGGUUCCACAAAAAGAAAAAUGGAAAGGCAUAUAUUGUUGGUGACUGGCUCACUGACAUUGAGUCUUCAAGUGGAUCUUCUUCAAGUGAAGAAGAGAAUGAUGAAAAAGUUGCCGCCAUCACCGGGGACUUCUCUUCACCACCACCAUCGCCAUCAUCAACUUCUCACCUAUGCCUCAUGGCUAGAGGUGAACGGAAGGUACAAAAUGAUAUUGAUAUUACUGAUGAUAGUGAUAGUGAUGAGGAAUUUGCUUCACCUUCAUAUGAUGAACUAGCUGACUUGCUUAAAGAAUAUACUCAAAUCAUUAGGAAGUCAAAAGCUAAAUGUGAUAAGUUGAAGAAUGAUAAUGAAUCUUUAAAUGCCAAAUGUUGGGGGCCUUCGGCUUACGAAGGUCCUCAAAAACAGGAUUUAACAGUAUUUCUGGAGUAUAAUGUGUGAACAGGUAUCUUCGGACUCAAGUCGGUAUCACAGCAGACCAGAAUAAUACGAAGGUUGAUACAGCGCCGAAGGUGUGAGCAGGAAAGCUUCGGCGUGGUAGCAAAAAAUGAAACCGACUUAAAGAUGAAAAGGCUAUUCAGACCUCGAUAGAUUACUAUAGAAUUAUUAUCAAAUGUAAAGGGCAUAAAUGUAAUUUUGUAUGGGCUGUGUCCUGUGCCUAUAAAUAGGUGAACAGUACCCCCGUACUGUUCAUGCGGAUCUGACAAUCGCUUUUGCGUCACGCUUGUACUUUCAUCUCCUUCAAGCUGAAGGUACAUUUGUAAUUCGAUGUUAUUUCUGUUUCUACAUAAUAAUAAUGCAAAGAUAAAUUAAUAAUAAUAAUAUGCAAUUGUCUAUGUUAUUCUUUAUAUUCCUUAUAAUUCAUCCUCCGUCAUUGUAUUUAUGAAGGUACGCCCUUCAUAACCUUCGUCCGAAAAUCAUUAUAUCCUAAGGGGAAUAAUGCUUCGAAGGAUGAAGGACUUUAACGAUUAACAUUUUUCUAUGUUGCCUUGUUCUUAACUCAUAGCAUUUGAGAACAAGUCCCCAACAUUGGCGCCCACCUCCGGUGAACUCACUUCCACUCUUUGAGUUUUCUGAACACCUUCGGCGAUCAUAAACCUUCGCUAUGGCGCCGAAGAAAGCUUCAGCAACUGGCACUGCAGCUCUUCAACCGCUGGACCACAAUCAGGAGACUGUCUCUCUUCGGGAGGCCCGAAGCCAGAAAAGGAAGGCUGUUAGCCCGACACCACCAGAGGAUGAGAUAGACCAAGAAAUCAGAGACAUGGAGAUGCUUCACCAACAAGUGCAGAGGAAGAAGGAAAAGAUGGCCAGGCUAGCUGAACUACAAAGGCAGAUAGACGAAGCCUCUGAGGAAGUUCGUCAUCUUACUCAGGAUGAGCAACACCGAAGGCCUCAGCACCAAGACCUUCAUCAGGAGGGUUUCCUCAAUGAAGAUGACUGGUAUGACAAUUUCCAUCAUGGGAAUUUUGUUUUUGAUGAUGCUUCUCCUCUGUCCGCUGAGCUGCAGGCUACACCUUGGCCUCCGUCCUACAAGUCGCCUCAGCUUCCCAUAUUUGAUGGUCACUCAGACCCGAAGCAGUUUUUGAUGAGCUACGAAGCAACAGUAUCUUCGUAUGGUGGCAAUGCUGCGGUCAUGGCCAAAUCUUUUGUUAUGGCUGUCAGGAGUGUUGCUCAAACCUGGUACUCCUCCCUUCGACCAGGAACCAUCACUUCGUGGCAAAAGCUGAAGGACUUGUUGUUAACCAGCUUCCAAGGGUUCCAGACGAAGCCGGUCACGGCUCAAGCUCUAUUCCAGUGCACCCAGGAUCACGAAGAGUACCUUCAGGCGUACGUCCGGAGGUUCUUGCGUUUGAGGGCACAGGCACCAACAGUGCCCAACGAAAUUGUCAUUGAGGCCAUGAUCAAGGGGCUUCGGCCAGGACCGUCAGCUCAGUACUUCGCUAGGAAGCCUCCUCAAACUUUGGAGAAGCUGCUCCAGAAGAUGGACGAGUACAUUCGGGCCGAUAAUGAUUUUCGCCAAAGAAGGGAGGAGGCUUUCAGGUUUUCUGAAAUGACCAGGGGCUUCGGAGGGAGGUUCUAUCCGAGGCACGUUAGAUCAAUUCAUAACUCUACCCAAAAUGAUGAUAGAGGGAGCCAACAGCAAAGGCCACAGUGUUCCUCACAAGCUUCGGGGCAACAGCAAGGCUCCUUCCGACCACCAGCUCCGAGAGGCAGAGGCGCCAGGGGCUUCGGCGGAAGAUUUGGCGAUCAACCGAGAAGAAUCUUUUGCUUAUUCUGUGGUGAGAACAAAGGUCAUACCACCAGGAUGUGCCAUGUUACCAUCCAGAAGCAAAAGGAAAUAGCCGAAGCGGCAGCACAACAGGCUCAGCCGAAGCAGGUCAUGCACACUGCUUCGUAUCAUUCGCCUUACAUCCCAGAGUAUGUAGGCAAUCACCCUGCAGUUUCUGUUGCUUCGGCGAGUCAACCUCAAGCUUCCUGGCAACAGCCUCCGCCUCCACCACCGCUGCAACAAGGCCAGCAGCCAGAAGGGAGCCAAUAUGCUCCACACCAAAGGGACUUCAGAGAACAGUCCGAAGCUCGCACAGUCAACAGCACUGUGCCAGAGUCAAAGCACAUCUAUUGACAAAUAUCCUACCUUAAUAGCAAUCUUUUUCAUUCAGUUUUAUUUUCUGUGUAAUAAAGGACAUUGUUUAGGUUUCAUGUAAAUAGUUUCGUUGAUUCCCACAAGGAAAAUAUAUUUUCUUCACAGGCUUAAGUUGUUGAAGUUUAAAGAUUUGUGCUAACAAAGAGAACCUUCAAAUUAUCGAAAAUUCUUCGAAGCAACAAAAAGUCGUUCUAAGGAACGCAGAGUAAGUUUGCCAAAGUCACAAAAAGCCGCUCCAUAGGGAGUGCAGUGUAAGUUUUCUGCUCCAAAGUCGUUCCAAAGGGAAUGCAGAGCUUACAGCGAAAAGUCAACGCUGAUACCGCCUAAGUAAAAAGGCGAAGCGCGAAAAGUCAACGCGAAUACCGCUGAAAGUAAAAGGCGAAGAAGCUCCUAAGGGAGGCUUACAGCGAAAAAUAAACGCUGAUUCCGCUGAAGUAAAAGGCGAAGAAGCUCCUAAGGGAGGCUUAUAAAAGAUUGUGUGUUUUAUUGCAGGGAUGUGUGUGUAUCUUCGGAAUAAACACCACCUCACAUAACAUAACAUCAUCGCAUCAUUUCGCAUAGCAUAAGCAUCAUACAUCAUGUUGCAUAUGGCACAAGAGGCGGACGCAAUAUCAAUCUGCAGAAGAACGUUUUGAAAAAAGGGAAAAAUCAUGAUGUUACAAGGAGAUACAUUUUUGAUCUUCGGAAGUGUAGCUUCGGAAAAUAUCUUCACGAAGCCUGGAUAUUAUUCAUCAGAACACUAUGGAUAUUGUUGUGACAAAGAAAAAUUCUUCUUCACGAAGCAUGAAAAGAAGGGAAGGUGUUUUUUCGUCAAAGACUCAAAAAUGGUACGUGUAAAAUUUCAUGCAUCGUAAAGAAUUGAGCAAUAAAAACAGGUAUAUUACAUUCAGGGUUACAAAAUGUUACAAUAUAUUACAUUUCAGAAGUUUUUACAAUAAUACUUAAUCUUCUCUCAAAACGACUUCUGCAGCCUCGUUCAGGAGCCGAUUAACAACUUCAUCCAUGAUAGCUUCAGCCAUCUUUUUAAUUUCGUCGUCUCCUUUCGGGGGAGGUCCCGAAGACGCUUUAGUAGGAUCUGAAGGAGGACAGGAUACGGCUACAUUGCUAUUACAAAUUGCGAACGAAGUUUAAAAUCGAAAAUUACAACACAAUAAAAACCAUUAGUUGAUACCUAUUUGCCCUUCGGGCUCUGCGUUUUUUUCAGCAGCUUCAGCCACUUCUCUAGCAUCGUGAAUGCCCUUUUCGCUUUUUCGAAUAAUUUCUCGGGCCAUUUCUCGACCACCAUUAUCCCAGACGUCGGUGAAAAAUUUUCCACCUACCAUGCUAGCUUCGGCUGAAGGAUCUCUUGCAUCUUCGAAGGACAAGCCAGCUUCGGAUUGUGCUAAAAUCUUUACAUGCUCGCAGCCCUUUUUCUCUAAGAUGGUGGCAAUUCCCCUGGCACCCGAGAAAGCGCAUAUGUCUCCGCGGCUGUUUAAAAUUUCCUCGAAAGCCUCAGCUUCGUGGUCGAUCCAUUCGAUAGGGCCUUCGGGGUUGCCUCUUGUAAAGUUUUCUUCGCUCGAAAAUGCGCCGACACUGGCGAAGCUAGCUUUCAACUUCUUCACACACUCUAUAGAUUUGUUAUAACAUCUUUUCUUGGAUGAACGAAGCUCUUCAACAGUUCCCUCUAAAUGAUUUGCCCAUUGGUCGCUGAGUUCUCGUUUCGUUUCUUCAAGCAUGCGUUCCUCUUUGGCUCUGGCCAGUUGUUUUCGAAGAUCUUCAAUUUCGCGCUUCUGAGCUUCAGCUUGACCUUUAAAAGUAGCUUCGUCUUCCUUUAUUUUAUUUAUUAAUGAAUGUAAUAUUUUAUCUUUUUCGAGACCUUCGUUCCUCAGUUCAAUUACUUCGGAACGAAGGUUGCUCAGGGCUAUAGCACACCCUUCGUCUUCAGCAUCUUUUUGGGCCCUGAGGGCAUUGCUAAGUAUCAGGCCCGACAAAGAAGAAUAUGUGUACGUCAUUAGAUUUAAGCAAACGAAAAAUUUUGGUCUCAACAAAAAAUACAAAGAUCCCAUUUGUUGCACCUUUAAGCUAUUAUAUGCCAGGCUGUCGGCCAGAUCGUUCUUCGACAGCACCGAGAGCCCGUCUUCUAGUGUUGGGAAUCCGAAGCUCUUGCUCAUCUCCCGACAGACAGAAAUCUCCUUGCUGUCAGGGAGACAAUACAAAAAGUCUUCUUCUCCACUACCAUUGAAUAUUAACGCCCCCUUUGGAUACUUCAGUUUUUGGGCAUAGCGCUGGGCCUCUUGCUUUUCUUUUUCUGAUAAUUUUUUCCCCGAAGCAUGACGAACAAUAUAAUCAAGGACUUUGGGGGAUGCUUCGGGGGCAAUGACACUGAUUUCUUCAACAAAAGUUGGCUCUGUUAUUUUUUCUUCCUCGGUUUCCAAGGAUUUUAUCUUCGUGGGCUCUGAGGACCCAGCUUCGGCUUCAGUUUCUUGCUCUGGAACUUUAAUAUCAGAAAUUUCAGUUUUCGCUUCGGGAAUGGCAACAGUUUUCUUCGGAGAUGUGCUUGAAGAUUUAAUUGUUUCCAGAACAUCUAGCACAUUAGCCAUUCUCUUUCUUUUCAGAGUCACUGCUGGCACCUUUUGAUUUUUUACUGUCUCAACAUUUGCUGCAGGACUAAAAACUUCUGAUGUUUUUUCCUCAGUUGGUCUUUUCACUUCUUCCAUUUUUUCUGUGGAUGGCACUUCGGCCAUCUCUUUUGUUUCUGGUAACAAAAUCUUCGGUUCUUCCAAUUCUAUCCUUGUUGGCGCUUCGGCCAUUUCUGCGACUUCUGGCAGCAAGGUUGGUUUGGUUGGCUUUUCAGCUUCGGUGGCCGAAGAAGUUUCUCCGGUGAACUCAGGCACCGAAGCUAGUUCAAUAUAGCGCGACCGAUGUGUGAGGACUUUUAUCCUCUUUCUUUUCGGUUUUGGCUCGCUAGGAGCAGUUGCAGCUUCUUCUUUCGCAGAGGUUGUGUUUUUUCUUUUCUGCCCUCGAAUGGGAUAACGAUAGUCAGGGUAGACGAACCCGAUUGCAUCAAACACCCGAUUCAGCCUCUUCUUUUUUCGACCUCCGAAGGCUGCUGACAGUGCAGUAUCUUCGGCCUUCAAAUAAGCCCCGAGCAGUUCAUCACUUAAAUUUUCAAUGCUUUUUAACCAGUCAUCAUCUGGCUCAACGAAUUUAUCUCCGAACUUAAAAGUAUACUUCAGCCUGAUAAGUCCACCUUCGUCGGCCUCCUUUAUGGUUUCUUGCGGCAUUUCCCAUUUCUCCGCGAGCGGCCAUACCCUGAAGGCAAUAUGCUCUUGUACCAAAUCUCUCGUUCCAAUAAAAGAACAAAUAACGCCGAAGGCUCUCUGGCAUUCUUCGGCAGCUUCAUUCAUUUCAACCUUCGGCCUCCGAAGGCCGAAGCUUUGCCAAAUAGGGCGCAUAAUUAUACCUUUGAUAUCUUCUCGUACUGUCAGGUCAUUCUUCACAUAAAACCAUUCUGUCAUCCAGUCGCCGGGCCAUCUCUUCCGAAAGGUUGGCACGGGACAGCUUGACCCGGACCGAGAAACGAAACUGUAGCAGCCAAAAUUAUUGUGAUACUGUUCCUUACCCCAAGGUUUUGUUUCGUAUGAUAAUUCGUGUAUAUUGCAGAAACUUUUUGCAUCAGGCUUCAGACCUUGGCUUCUCACGGCCCACACGAAGAUAUUCAGCCUUAUGAUUGCCUCGGGGGUAAGUUGGUGAAGAUAGACUUCGAAUAUUUUCAGCACCUCUACGACAAACUCGCUCAGGGGAAAUCGUAGUCCAGCUUUUAAAAAGCUUCGGUACACUACGACUUCAUUCUCUUCAGGGUGUGGACAAGUCUUUUCCCCUUCGUCGGCCCUCACAAUGGACAGAUCCCGGAAAUACCUUCCUCUCAUGUUGACAAGAUGAUUUUCUUUGAUAGUUGAUUUGCCAAAAACCGCAUGGCUUGGUCGCCAAGGGCGAUCUUCGGAGUCUUCACCACCACUGUCCACAUCAUAACUGUCGCUGUCACCAGUAUCUUCAGACAAACCUUCCAGAAUCUCCUUGGUGAUUUUUUUUGUAUUGGUCUUCGACAUCGCUAUAAGAAACCCCAAGUUCUUCUCUUCGUCGAGACUCAGCUUCAUCUCAGCAGCAGCCUUCUUAUCUUCAGACAUCUUCGGAAACACUAAAAAACUGUUUUCAAAGCCGAAGCUUCAAAACUAAAAGCUCAGCAAAUCUUAGUGCACAAGAGCUAAAAAUUGAGUGAGCGAGAGCAGAUGGCAAGAGAGCGUGCCAAAUGAGUUUGCGGUAUGACCGUAUUUAUACGCCCAGUGCGUUGAAAAUUGAAAGACCCCGCUUGUCAGUGAAUGUUGCUAUUCUAGCAAAGGGAAGGUGUUUUUUCGGACCUUCGGCGUAAAGCCUUCGUCCAUGUCGCAAUCUAAAUUUAUUAUUGUAAACAAAUUAAUAUUGCGAGGGGCUACUGUUGGGGGCCUUCGGCUUACGAAGGUCCUCAAAAACAGGAUCUAACAGUAUUUCUGGAGUAUAAUGUGUGAACAGGUAUCUUCGGACUCAAUUCGGUAUCACAGCAGACCAGAAUAAUACGAAGGUUGAUACAGCGCUGAAGGUGUGAGCAGGAAAGCUUCGGCGUGGUAGCAAAAAAUGAAACCGACUUAAAGAUGAAAAGGCUAUUCAGACCUCGAUAGAUUACUAUAGAAUUAUUAUCAAAUGUAAAGGGCAUAAAUGUAAUUUUGUAUGGGCUGUGUCCUGUGCCUAUAAAUAGGUGAACAGUACCCCCGUACUGUUCACGCGGAUCUGACAAUCGCUUUUGCGUCACGCUUGUACUUUCAUCUCCUUCAAGCUGAAGGUACAUUUGUAAUUCGAUGUUAUUUCUGUUUCUACAUAAUAAUAAUGCAAAGAUAAAUUAAUAAUAAUAAUAUGCAAUUGUCUAUGUUAUUCUUUAUAUUCCUUAUAAUUCAUCCUCCGUCAUUGUAUUUAUGAAGGUACGCCCUUCAUAACCUUCGUCCGAAAAUCAUUAUAUCCUAAGGGGAAUAAUGCUUCGAAGGACGAAGGACUUUAACGAUUAACAUUUUUCUAUGUUGCCUUGUUCUUAACUCAUAGCAUUUGAGAACAAGUCCCCAACACCAAAUAUGAUAUAGUUAUGAAAGCUAGUGAUGAAAUGAAAGAAGAGAACAAAACUAUGUCAUCCACUGUAAAUGAGCUUACAACCUCCCUAAAAGAUGCUAAGGAUAAAUGUGACAAGUUAAAUGAAGCUAAUAGGGAGUUAGAAGAUAUACUAGUGAAAAUCAAGAAAGACUAUACUAAGAUUAAAUUUGAUCAUGAUAAUCUUCUUGUUGAAAAUGAACUUUUAUCUUGCAAUACACAUGAGGCUAUUAACCCUGUUGUUAAGAUUGAUGUAGCAACCUCAUGUGAUGAUUUAAGUCAAGGAGAGCAAACUAGUCUACAUGAUGAAUUGACCGAAAAAGUUGAAGUCUUGACUUUAGACAACCAAAAAUUGAAGAGAUACUUGACUGACGCAACUACUAGAGGAAAGGUUGCUAUUGAGAACAACGAUUUCAACAAUGAGUUGGCAGUGGAUAAUGAAAGGCUUAAAAAUGAGGUCAAGAAACUUAAGAGUGAAAAUGAACAUCUUGCAACAAGUGUGCAAAAGUUCAACAAGGGCCAAUACCUCCAAAAUGAGUUGCUUAUGAACACUGUCAUGAAAAACAACAAGAGUGGUAUUGGAUACAAUGCUUUUGUGCAAAAGAAAGCUACUACUCAAUACAAGCCAAAGCAGACUCACAAGCCUAUCAAAUGCUUUGAGUGUGGAAAAGAAGGUCACUUUGCCCACAACUGCAAAGCCAAACCACCAACUCCCUUGCCUAAGCACUCAAGACCAUUUGCUUUCAAUGCUCAUUAUGUUCUAAGAAAAGUUGCAAAUGGAAAGGUCAAAGUUAAAUUCCUAGGUCCACCAAACAAGAGUAGACCUAGACAAAUUUGGGUUGCAAAGUCCUUGAUUGAGGGAGUCACUGGUCCUAUGCAAUAUAGGCCCUCAAAACUCAAGCUUGAUUUGUCUGUGGAUGUAGGUGAACUACAAGACCGGUGGGAGCCAUUGGGUUAUUGACAGUGGAUGCACACAACAUAUGACAGGCAACCCACGGAUGUUCACCUCACUUGAUGAGAAUGUUGAUGGACAAGACAAAAUCACAUUUGGAGACAAUUCAAAAGGGAAAGUGCAAGGACUUGGCAAGGUGGCAAUUUCAAAUGAUUUAUCAAUUUCAAAUGUUCUCUUGGUUGCACCUUUAAGCUUCAAUUUAUUAUCAGUGGGUCAACUCUGUGAUCUUGGACUUCAAUGCUUAUUCACUCCAACAGAGGUUAUUGUAUCAAAGAUGGAUAAUGAAUCAAUGGUGUUCAAGGGAUUUAGAUACAACAAUCUCUACUUAGUGGAUUUCACUUCAGAAGAUGCAGACUUAAGAACUUACCUCUUCACCAAAGCUUCACUUGGAUGGCUUUCGCAUAGGAGGCUUGCACAUGUUGGGAUGAGCACACUCAAGAAGGUAUUAAAGGACAUGGUUAGAGGAUUAAAGGAUGUGGUAUUUGAAAAGGACAAACCUUGUAGUGCAUGUCAAGCUGGGAAGCAAGUUGCUAAUACACAUCCUACUAAAGCUUUCAUGUCAACAUCAAGGCCACUGGAACUACUUCACAUGGAUUUAUUUGCACCUACAAAUUAUGUAAGUGCUGGUGGCAACCUCUACUGUCUAGUGAUUGUUGAUGAUUUCUCAAGAUACACCUGGGUGUUCUUUCUCCAUGACAAAUCUGAAGUUGCAUCUAUAUUCAACAAGUUUGCCAAGAAAGCUCAAAAUGAAUUUGAUUGCAAGAUCAAGAAGAUUAGAAGUGAUAAUGGUAAAGAAUUUGACAACACCAACAUUCAUGAGUACUGUGAUGAAAUUGGGAUCAAGCAUGAAGUUUCUACAACAUGUACACCUCAACAAAAUGGAGUUGUUGAAAGGAAAAACAGGACCUUAUAACACACCGGAGAGGUUUUGGGCUGAAGCUGUCAACACUGCAUGUUAUGCAUCAAACAUGUUAUUUCCUCACCGGCUGCUUGCGAAGACUCCCUAUGAACUGCUAAAUGGGAAAAAGCCAGACGUCUCCUUCUUCCGGGUGUUUGGAUGCAAAUGCUACAUCUACAAGAAACGCCAUCACCUAGGGAAGUUUCAAAGACGUUGUGAUAUUGGUUUUCUAUUGGGUUAUUCAUUAAAGUCCAAAGCAUAUCGAGUAUUCAACCAUGCCACUGGCGUGGUAGAAGAAACAUAUGAUGUGGAAUUUGAUGAGACUAAUGGCUCCCAAGGAGCACUUGAAAAUCUUGAUGCUGUAGGUGAUGAGCCACUUAGGGAAGCAAUGAAGAACAUGCCAAUUGGAGCUAUCAAACCAAAAGAAGAUGAAGAAGAGGUGCAAAACAUUGACAUGCCUUCUUCAUCAAAUGUACCACAAGAUGAUGAAAAAGAUGAGAGGCAUGCAAAUGAAGAUACAUUUGUCUCUCAUGAACAAGCAAGGGUACAAGCCGAAGAUGUUGAUGCUCUAGGAUCUUCUUCCCAAUUGGUUGACAGGAGAAACUCAUCACUACUUCAAGCUCAUCCUCAAAACCAAAUCAUUGGGAGUCCUUCACAAGGGGUUAUUACUCGAUCACAUAGACAUGCUUCUUUUAUUGAACAUCACUCCUUUGUUUCUUAUGUUGAGCCUACAUGUAUAGAUGAGGCACUACAGGAUCCGGAUUGGGUGAACGCCAUGCAUGAAGAACUUAACAACUUCACCCAUAACCAAGUUUGGACCUUGAAGAAGCCCCCACAAGAUGCAAGAAUAAUUGGAACAAAGUGGGUGUUCAGAAACAAACAAGAUGAUCAAGGUGUGAUUGUGAGGAACAAGGAAAGACUUGUCGCAAAGGGAUUCUCUCAAGUUGAAGGCUUAGAUUUUGGAGAGACCUUUGCACCAGUUGCUCGACUGGAAGCCAUCCGUAUCCUUCUCGCAUAUGCAUCAUGCUAUGAUAUAAAGCUUUAUCAAAUGGAUGUAAAAAGUGCAUUUUUAAAUGGCUCCAUAAAUGAACUUGUAUAUGUUGAGCAACCACCUGGAUUUGAAGACCCUAGAUAUCCUAACCAUGCUUACAGGUUGUCCAAGGCGCUAUAUGGGCUAAAGCAAGCUCCAAGGGCUUGGUAUGAGCGUCUUCGCGACUUCCUCAUCGAAAAGGGCUUCAAGAUCGGGACCGUCGACACAACUCUAUUCACAAAGAAACAUAACAGUGAUAUUUUCAUUUGUCAAGUAUAUGUUGAUGAUAUAAUCUUUGGCUCGACAAAUGACUAUCAUUGCAAGGAAUUUGGUGAGUUGAUGUCGAAGGAGUUCGAGAUGUCAAUGAUUGGUAAUCUGACGUACUUCCUCGGCUUUCAAGUCAAGCAAAUGAAAAAUGGUAACUUUCUCUCACAAGAGAAGUAUACCAAAGACUUGUUAAAAAGGUUCAACAUGGAGAAGUGCAAACCAAUCAAGACACCUAUGCCAACAAAUGGACAUCUCGACCUAGAUGAGGGAGGUAACCCGGUUAAUCAAACUCUCUACCGUUCUAUGAUUGGUAGUUUAUAGUACCUUACCGCAUCUAGGCCCGAUAUCAUGUUUAGUGUCUGCAUGUGUGCUAGAUUUCAAUCUAAUCCUAAGAAAGCUCAUCUUCGCGCUGUUAAAAGAAUUCUUAGGUAUCUCAGGCACACCACAAGCGUUGGUCUGUGGUAUCCCAAAGGAGCUACUUUUGAUUUAAUUGGCAAUUCCGAUUCGGAUUAUGCCGGUUGCAAAAUUGAUAGGAAAAGUACUUCUGGGGGAUGCCAUCUGCUUGGUAGAUCACUAGUUUCAUGGACAUCCAAAAAGCAAAAUAGUGUUGCCUUGUCAACCGCUGAAGCGGAAUACAUUGCCGCGGGUGCUUGUUGCACACAAAUUUUAUAUAUGAAACAAACUCUUCUAGACUAUGGCGUAGUUCUAGAAAAGGUACCUCUGUUGUGUGAUAAUGAGAGUGUUGUUAAAAUUGCUAAUAAUCCUGUACAACACUCUCGCACCAAGCACAUUGAUAUCCGUCAUCAUUUCCUUAGAGAUCAUGUUGCUAAAGGAGAUAUCAUUUUAGAAGGAGUGAGGUCGGAAGAUCAAUUAGCGGAUAUUUUCACUAAGCCACUUGAUAAGACCCGGUUUUGCAUGUUGAGGAAUGAAUUAAAUAUACUUGAUCUCAGAAAUUUUAUUUAAGAUGUCAAAUGGUGUUGUCAAGCUUGCAUUGCAUAUUUAAAUUUCUUGUAUUGCAUCUAGGGCUUGUCUAACCUAGUUGAGAUAACCGCCAACAAAGCGAGUGAAAAAGCUUAACUCGGAUCAAACUUGACAAGUCUUAGUUUUAAUCUUUUAGCACUUAAAUUCUUACUUUUUAUGCAAUUGUUGGUUCUUGAAAUAUGCAUGAGGUACUGCACUUAGGGGGAAUAUUCAAAACUCAAAUCACUCAUGAAAACCCCUAGUGCAAGGCCAAAAUGCAAAUUUCACCAUUUGCCUAUUUUCUCUAAAAAUUAUCUAGCCUAUGGCAAAAUAUUUUGAAAAUUAUGAGAAAAUAUAUGAGGGUGCCAAUACCUGUCCCAACAAGUGUUAUUUUGUGUGUUUAUAAGUUGGGAUUUGUUUGGUUGAAAACUAGAUAGAAAAAUUCAAAAAAUCCAAAUUUUCCCUCUGUCUGGGCUCACCGGACAGUCCGGUGUGCACCGGACACUACACUAUGCACUGUCCGGUGCACCGGCCGCGCGCGCGCAAGAACUCCUUUUCCUGUGCGCUGUCCGGUGGUUCACCGGACAGCUACUGUGCGCUGUCUGGUGUGCACCGGACAUGCACUGUAGACUGUCCGGUGCACCCAUAACUCGUUUUUAAAAAAAUAUUUUCCCUGCUCGCGCCCGAGGCCAGGCAUUUCCUCUCUGUCUCUGGUUUCUCUCUGUCCUCUAGCGCUUUGCUCUCCCUCGCCGGCGACCCUCCCUCACCGGCGACCACCGUGCUCCGGCGAUCUCCCGUGCUUGUGCCUGCUCUUCACUCCUCUAGGUGAGCAGCCCCUUCUCCCUCUGUCUUCCUCUCUGUUCUGUUGUGCAGAGGUUCUCCUUCCCACCUCUUGUGCCAAUUUCAAAUUCUUGUGUAAAUCUUGUGAAUCCCUAUGCAUGGUUGUGUGUCCUAGUGCUCCAUUAAAUAUCCUGCAGGUUCUUAGCUCCUUCAGGAGGGUUUCACCACCUCAAAUAACCGUUUCACCGAAACCCUAUAUCCUCGCACAUCACGUGUUUGGUGAAAUGCCCAAACCAGCCAAAAACGCUCCGAUUGAACCCAAAUUUUUCAGGCACCUUCACAACACCUCCAGUAACAUAUUCGCCAAAUUUCACGCCCAUCCGAUAUACCAGGCUUCAUUUUCACCAAAUUCCCCGUUUCGAGCGACCGUUUCCGAGCCGAGUGCCCAAAUUUCAUUUUCUUCGCCUAAAUUCAAACCAAGCACAAACUUCACUCAUAUUCACCCAUAUAAACCUAUUCGUGAAGUAUCGGCUCAAUUCCACGUCAUUUCAUGCCUCAAUUCGAAUUCCAAACCUCCUAUGGCACUAUUUCUCGUUCAAACGUCGUUUUCACGUCGUUUGACCUCUCGAUUGCCAUAUCUCUCGUUUUCUGUGCCAUAUUUCUCUGUGUAUGUAUUUAUUCACAUUUCAUAUACUUAUGACUAUGUGACUAAUACGUGCUCACCUCUUCUGUCAUUUUAGUGACCUUGACUGCCCGUGAGCCAUCUCCUGUCCUGCCUGGAUUUUCACCUCUCGUGUGAGCUUUCCAGGUAGACAUCUCCUCUUUUGAUAUUCUAUCGGCUAUUAUCGACUUGUGCUUAGUUUCUCUCUCUCAUUUGCAGUCGUCAGGUCAGGAUGCCGCGCACGAAGAAUGUGUCGGCGCCAGGGGGAGGCGAUGAUGAGGAUCCUCGUUGCCCCUUCAGGCAGGUCAAGGGAAAGACCGUGUACUUGGACCAGCAGGAAGGCCGCAAGAAGCGGCGUAUGGACAGAGCAGCCCGUGCAGCGGCAGCAGCAGCAGCAGCCGCUGAGCAGGCCGAGCUAGGAGAUCAGCCUUAGACUCCUUCAGAUCAGAUUGCGUACCGAGUUCAUCGCCUCGCCUCCCGGCCUCGCUCCUCCACUCCCACCACUGCUUCCACUCCACCACCCACUUUGCCUGCUCCCGUCACCCCUGCUGCGCCAUCCACCACCUCCACUACACCAGCUUCCACUGCUCCUCCUCCCGCUCCCGUUUCCGCUCCACCUAUCCCACCUGCUCGCUUUCGGGAGCAUGAUGAGACUGAGGUGCGACCUCUGGCUACAGAUCCCUGGUUGUUUGACCUUCAGCGUGCUACAGCGGCACGGGUACGUCGGUUCCGAUAUGUACCCAUGGAGUCUUGGUUACCGGCUCAGAGGGACCCUGCUGCAGUUUACCUCUUCAGCACCCGUAUUCAGGAGUCCUUUUUCAGAGCUCAGAUGUCUGCACAGAUUGCUCUGUGAGUUCACCGGCUUCUGGACCUUCCUGCAUUUCUGCUUGCCGCUGGUGCUGACUCUGAGGUAGGCCUGGGCAUUCGGUUCUUCGGUUCGGUUCGGUUCGGUUCCUCGGUUCUUGUAGAAAUUCGGUUCUUUAAAAACUAGAACCGAAAUAGCAAGAUAAAGAAAUCAGAACCGACUAGUUCGGUUCUCGGUUCUUCGGUUCGGUUCCUCGGUUCUAACCGAACUAUAACAAUCACUCUAAAAUUAUGAAUAACGGCAACUUUUGUAAGAAAUUUCAGCAACAUCUCCCCACAAAAAACGACAAGUGCACAAUGACUAUAAUUUUAUAGAUAAUACAUGAAUGAUUAGAGGUUCAACAUAAGUCGAUAACACAACAUCCGAAGUUACAAACACAUGUAACAAAUUGAAUCUAAUACUUUUGGGGUUUUCGGUUCUUUCGGUUCUUUCGGUUCUUUGGAGUGCAUAACCGAAAAUAUCUCAUUUAUUUCGGUUCUCAAAAAACCAGAACCGAAUUUCAUAACGGUUCCUUCGGUUCGGUUAGUUCGGUUCCGGUUCUCGGUUAUUUCGGUUCGGUUCCUCGGUUCCGGUUCUUUUUGCCCAGGCCUACUCUGAGGUACACCUCUCCUAUAUGCCUAGCCUUCUCACUCUUUUGACUACCAGCGGCAGGUAUGUUGAGGAAUGGGUCCGAGUCUUCUACGCUACUGUAUGGAUCGACCCUGAUCAUCACUGGAUGAGAUUCCGUUUUGAGCGAGAGGAUGUCACUAUUCAUGCCAGCCAGAUUCGCCAGCUCUUUGAAUUUCACGAGUCAUCGACUCGUCUUCACAGCUUAUGCUAUGGCACCUCUGACCCUCCUCGUCGCCCUCAUGGCGGUGUUGCUCCUAGUACAGCCCACGUCGCGGCUCUGUUCCGACCGCCCUUCUUAGAUGGGUCGCGACGCUCUCCGACAGACUUCACCACAACAAAAAAGUUUCUAUAUCAGCUUAUGAGACAGACACUUCUGCUGCGAAUGGGGUACAGGGAGGCUACCACUCAUAUCCUGCUCUGGCUCCUUGGUGCCCUGGUCUCUCACUCAGAGUUUGAUGUUGUGGAUUUCCUUAUUUGUGAGAUCGAGGACACCGUUCUGAAUGGUCUGCGUGCUCGUCGACAGCUGCCUUAUGCUCACUACCUGUGUCACAUUUUUGCUCAGCUGAUUCGGCGUCCACAGUUCCAGGGCACACUUGAGGCCUCACGCCUCGUCUUUGGGUCCUACCGUCCAGCACCUGAGGAUCCUGUGCCAGCACCUGCUCCAGUAUUUGACACUCGAAGCUCAGGACGCAGCAGUUGAUGAUGAUGAUGAUGAUGAUGAUGAUUUUGGGAUUCCACCUCCGCCUCCUAUGCCUCCACGCUCACAUGAUCAUGAGGCUGGGAGUUCUCGUGCUACCCCUGCUGCCCCUCCUGCCAUUGACCCUGCUCUUGCUUCGAUCCUCCAGACACUUACUCAGCAGCAGGCUCACUUGGCAGCCGAGCAGACCCGUCAGGCAGUAGCCCACCAGCAGUUGUCCGAGAGAAUGCUCUCGAUGUUUCAGACGAUUCAGGACAGGCAAGAUUCUCUUCAGCAGCAGCUUCUUCAGGACCGGGCUGAGAGCAGGGCCUUCAUGACUCUUAUGCUACAACAUUCUGGUAUAUCGAUUCCCCCGGUUCAGUCAGUACCGCCUCCACCUCUUCACGCUCCUGUUGUGCCAGCGAUUCAGCCUGGACCCCCUCUUUCUUCAGUUGGUCCUUCUUCCUCUCCGCUCCGGCCGGUCACCCUGGCUUUCACGUCACCGGUCUUCAGCCCCAUCUGCCCUCAGCCGCCAGUGCCACCAUCUUCUGCUAUUCCCACUACUGCUGUGGCGGUGUCUGUGACCACUUUAGAUCCGGCAGCCCCUGCAGCGCAGCCUCAGUCCGAGUCAGUACCAGCUCCAACUUCUAUAGCAGAUCCUAGAUCCGAGACUGACUCUGACCCCCAGCUGGCGUUCGCUCUACUGCCUCGACCGCGACCGGAUGCGCCCCCGCCGCCUCCUCCCACUUCUGAUGUGUAGGUUCGGGUACCCUUUUGGUGUUUGACACCAAAGGGGGAGAGAUAUGAGUUGUGAGAGCUAGGGGGAGUUAGGGAGUUAGUAGAGAGUCAUUUUGAUGUAAUUUAUGUGCUUGUUACUCUCUGUACUAGCUUGGUGCUUUUGGCUCACAAACUCUAUAUAUACUCUCGAUGCUUAUGUUGACUGUGUGUGUAUUAUGUUUUCACCUUAUAUGUUAUCACUAGUCUGUUAGUUCUUGUUCAUCGAUUUGAUUUCACUUUUAUAUGAACAAGAAACUUACGUUGUGUAUGCGCUCAUUCUUAUUAUUAUGGUACACAUUCUUUCUGUCAAAGAUUACUGAGUAUAACUAACCAUCUUUUCUAUUGACAGAAAUUUCAAAACAAACUACUCUCACAAAUCUUGUAGGGUUGUCAUCAAUCACCAAAAAGGGGGAGAUUGAAAGCAUCUAGGCCCCUGGUUGGUUUUAGUGAUUAAUGACAAUGUAAUGUUAUAUGUGACUAACGUAUGUUUUGUAGAGACAAAUGGUAAGUUAGGUCGCAUUACAGGUAGAAGUACUACAAUGGUGAAAACAAUCCUGGAGAUAAGAACUCGAAGCGACGGCUAAAACGACGAAACAAAAGGUGAAGGACUACGGAGUCUGAGUGUCAAGGAGAUGAGGACACUCGUGAUUUAGUUAGGUCUUUUAUUAUCUUUUAGCCGUACUAUAAAGAUGGGUUGUCGAUGAGUAGUUUGACCAAGAGAGUUCUAGUGUAGUGUUGGUGCACAUUCACACUCACAUAUAGUGCUAGGUGUCACUCUAGAACUCACUCACAAGUUAGAACGAAAAUAGAUUUGAAAAAUAGCUGAAAACAGGAAAUAUGGUUUCUGGCCUUGGGGCACCGGACUGUCCGGUGCGCCCUCUGCCAGGUGGGGCCAGGCUGGCCCAGGGGAAGGGUUUCCCCGAGAAGAAAACCCGAGAGCGCCAGUUUCAGAAAUGAAUUUUAGUGGCGCAUCGGACAGUGCACCGGACUGUCCAGUGUGCACCGGACAGUGACUGUUCACUGUCUGGUGUGCCAUCAGCCCAACGGCUAGCUGUCAGAACUAGCCGUUGGAGUCGACCGUUGGCGCACCGGUGGCGCACCGGACUGUCUGGUGCGUCCAUGCGCAGAACAGUGCUGGUAACGGCUAGUUGGUGGGUGUGGGCUAUUUAUACCCUCUCCACCCACCAUAUUCAAUGUCUUGCUGCCCACAUUAAUUCCAGCACAUUGCUAGAGCAUUGCCAGCACCAAAAGCCUAGUGAGGAGAUUAGAGAAUCUUAAUUCCGCAUUUGUUCCUCAUUAGCGCUAGCAAGAGCCACCUAGAGCACACACCACUUGCAUUAGGCUUCUCUUGGUCAAGCGAAAGUCUACGGCUUGUUACUCUUGGUGAUCGACAUCACCUAGAUGGCUUGGUCGCGUUGGGAUCUCGGUGAUCACCGUGAAGAUCUUGUUGGUGACCCAACUCAAGUUUGUAAGCGGUCUCGAGGGAUCCACCGCGCCGGAGUGGCAAAGGAUCAUCUCGUAGUGAGCACUUGGUUCUUGCGAGGACCAAGGGCGAGCGAUACCCUUGCGUGGGUGCUCCAACGAGGACUAGUGGAGAGUACUGACUCUUCGAUACAUCGGGAAAAAUUGGAGGAGUCUUCUAAACCUUGCUUUACAUUCCGCACUUAAUUCAAGCACUUUACAUUGUUUAUUUGUUUAGCAAGUAUUUGAAGUAUUGUCUUAGCAUUGUUGUAUUUCUAGUAUUAUUAUCUUAGUGCUAGUUGUUGGGGUGAAGUUGGGUCUUGCUUAGCUCUUGCUUAGGUUUUAAUUAGUGUUGAUUUUUAGAAAAGCCCAAUUCACCCCCCUCUUGGGCAUCAUGAUCCUUUCACGUGGCAUGCACUAAAUCCCUUGAAGAGAAUGUCAAGAACUUGAGGAUUGCCAAGAGGAAGGAACAAAAGAAGAAAAUCAAUACCUCUUCCAAAAGCCUCAACCAUGCCUCCAUAAAAGGUAACAUCCAAGGUAAUAAUCAUGUCACACUUCAUACUAAGAGAAGUAAGAAGUGUAGUGAAUGCUUUGAAAAGGGACACUCGAUUAGGUCAUGUCCCUAUAUUAAAAAUAACUUGAUUAUAAACAAGGAUGAUAAACUUUGUUUUAAAUGCUCCAAGAAGGGACACUUGUUUAGGUCUUGUCCCCAUUUAAAAAAAAGGCAUAGUGUUAGAAAAGAAAAAAUUCACUAACCAUGUAGCAAUAAAGAAACAAGGAAAGAAGAAAUCUUCAAGACUUGAGGAUCGCCUAUGCUACAUAUGCCGAAAGAAGGGACAUCAAUGCAAGGAUUGUCCCAUCGGUAACAAUCCCACUCCUAGCUUGUCAAUUAAUUCUAAUGUAACUAGGCCACCCAAAAUUGCAACUUGUGCUAGAAAGAUAAUGAGUUUACAUAGUGCUAACACAAAGGAUGUUUGGGUUCCUAGAUCUUUGUUGACUAACCUUGAUGGACCCAUCAAGAGAUGUGUACCAAAAUAUGCUUGACAAGCUUUGCAGGAGAAGGAGAUGAUAUGAAGCUUUGGGGUGCUUGAGAGAGUCAAUUCAACUCUUGUUAACUCAAGCUAUCAAUAUUCAAUGAUCUAUAUCCAUGAUUGACCCAAGGUUAUUUUUCAAAUUACUAUGUCUUAAACUCAUAUCAUCUCGGAGAAAGUAUUGAUGUUGUAGGAAAUAAAGAAUUAUCCUGUGCGAAAACAACAAGGCCUACAACAUGGAGGAAAGCCAAAUGAUGGUAAUAUCUAUGUUUUUAAGUGCAAGUAUCUCAAAUUACUAUUUCUCAUGUGUCUUGUGUAGUCACAUAGAAAAAUGAAGCACUUCAAAUAUCUUUAAAUUAUGUCACCAUUCUUUGAAAAAAUUCCUCUCAUAUGGUAGAUUGCAUAUUCAUCAUUUCUAUACCAUGGCAAUUUACAUGCUUUAAAUUAUUGUAAGUAUCUCAUGGCAUGCUUUAUAUUAAUCAUUCUAUUAUUGCCAUGUUCUAGAUAUAGAGAGAUAUUACAUGUUCUUAAAGGAAUAAGGUGUCACAUAAGGAAUUUAAUUCCUUAGGAUACUUAUAAAGGGAAUCUCUCUUAUAUAUAGAAAUCGUGAGACUAAUGUUCUUAUCUAAAUAGCCUAAGUAGUCUCACAUAUAGAGAAUAAGUUUCUCUAUGGAGAUGCGCAAUCUAACAUGAAAAGUCAAUCCAAUGAUUUGUGUUGUUUUGCCUCUUGCUUAAGUUGGAUAUGAUUCUUCUAUAUUUAUCGCUCUCCAUGAUGAAUUAGAUUUAUUCCCAUAAUCUUAAAGAAUUAUCUAUGCUUGUUUUGUAAGCAAAAUUAAGCAUACAUCAUGGAAUAACCUAGUUCAUAUUAUAAAGUUUCCAUGCUUUAGUAAUCUAUUCCUUAUCAAAAUGGUUACUCCAAGGGAAACUAGUGCUUGUGUUACUAAUGACAUAUCUCUUGAGCUUACUUAUGAAAAUCUACAAGAGAGUAAGUGCAAGCCGCAAGCCUCAAGGGUUACUCUUCAUCCAAAGGAAGAGAGGUAAAAGCAAAGGUAUGGGAACUCAUCUUCUUAAUCAAAUAUAGUUCCCAUCAGUAGUUAUUGAUUCUAAUUUAUCAUAUUCUAUCUAUGUGAAGAAUAGAUUCUUUUAAGUCAGCUAGAUGUGCAUUCAAUCUCAAUCUCAUUCUCAUAAAUGCACUUAUCCAUUAGAAUCUAAUUCAUGCCUUUGCUGUAUCUGCCCUCAUAUUGAUAUGCUUUUAAGUAGUAAUAAUAAAAUCAAUAUGAAGAAGUAAUUUUCCUAUGAUUGUUCAAAAUGAUUUAAAAGUGCAUAUUCCUCUUUUCAAAUAAUGUACACCAAUGUUAAGGAUUUUACUUCAUGUUUGUGUGACCUGUGAAUGAUGAAUUGUUUAUAUUCCUUAUCAAAAAGAAAUCAUUCUUCAUCAUAUACUCCCUUGUGCUUUUAACAUCUCUCUUGAGUAUUUUCAAUAAGUUUGGAAGGAAAAAGAGUCAACUAUAAAGGGAGGACACUCAAAUGAAAAAGAAAGACAUCAAGAGCAACAACACCUACUUGGAUAAUGAGAUCUUCAAAACAAUCAAUGGUGUGGUUGUAAGCAUUCUAAAUCUUUUUCAUUAUGAGAAUACUAGGCAUAAAAUGUUUAGUGCAAAUUUUGUAAGCCUUGAUCAAAUUGAAUAGUGCUUCUCCCCAUUUGUCUUUAAAAGUGAGUACAUCUAUCCAAUUCAUUCAAUUUCUUGAUGCAUAUCUUUAGGGGGAGCCUAUUUCUAUAUCUUGAUUAUAUUGAGACUAACACUUUAUCUUAGUAAUCUCAUAUAGUCUCAUGUAUGAGAACCAUCUUCUCAUGAAGUAUGCUACUACAUAUCAAUCCUUCUUGGUAAAGUAAUAUCACCUUUAUCAAGGAUUGUAGCUUUCAUUGUUAAAGUAGCAUAUUUACUGGAUUCUCCCAUUUUAAGCUUGUUUAAUGAUAUAAUGCCUAUGUUGUUCUUUUGAUCGCAUCUGUUGUAUGUUUGAUCAUUGAAUAACUUCAAUUAGCACCUAUGCUUCUUAGUGCCUCAUGUAAUUUCAAUUGAUAUCUCUCUUGAUAUGCACUAAGUUAAAAGGAGAAUUCAUGAUAUAUUUAUGCAAUUUGUGAUCUACUUGAUAUAUGAUAACGAUGACUUAAAAGGGAUCACUAGUUGUAGAACCAUCUCUUGUGCAAAAUAUUUCCAUACACUAUCUUGAAUAUAGGUCUUAAAUAACUAAGACUAAGGACAAAGCACAAUGAAGAGAGCGUCUCUAUGUGAAGGUACAAAAGGGUAAAACUACUUCCUCUUAUUUUUACAUGUACCUAAAUCUUCCUUUUCUAUACAUUUCUUGCACAUCUUGUAUAAAAGGAAGAGAAAGCAUGUUCAUGCAUUAGCCCUGCUUCAUACCUAGUUUAAACUUCUCAAACAUUCAUUCUUGCAUAUUUGUUAAAACUGGGUGAAGUAAUUUUAUUGUCAAAGAGCUUAAAGCUUGACCUUGUAACGAGGAUAAGCUGCCUUUGUUCCAAAGGUGGAUGGUCCUUAAGCCUCUUUGAAAUCAUUAAGGGUAAAUGCUUAAGAUGUUUAUAACAUGCUUUCAUAAGUGCAUAAACUAUCAUGAGCAUCACACUUACACUAUGACACAAUGCACUUCACAUUCUGUAUGAUAUAGAUAUGUUCUCAUUAACCUAAUUAUGUGCAAUUGGCAUUUAAGGCCAAAAUAUGUGUUCCUCUCCAUGCACAUAUUUGGGGGGAGCAAUCUAUAUUAUAUAGAACUAUGAUUAUGCUUAAUUGAUAUAUCUUUUGAUCAUAUGUCUAUGACUAAUGUGCUUUCGAGUGCAUUUUCAUGCUUAGUCAUAGAAUUGAAAGGGAAAUGGAGUAUUUGGCAAAGACGACGCUUCCACUCAACUCCAUCGGUAUCAUCCACUCUUUGCCAGUAUUCCGCAUAGUUCUCCACCUUGGUAUGAUCUUCACUCAUAUUUAUUUGUUUGCCAUUGGGGAGAAAGUGAAAAAGGGCUUAUAUUUCACUCACAAGUAUCCAUUUUUGGCGAUUCAUGCCAAAGGGGGAGAAAGUAUUAGCCCAAAGCAAAAGGACCGCACCACCACCAAUUUAAAAAAUGUAGUCUUUCAAAUUUGUGUUAAGAAAAGAUUUUUCAAUUGGUAUCUUAUUUUUUAUAUAAUUUCCAAUUGGCAUACCCUCUUCAAAAUUAAUAUCUAAAACCCUCUUGAACACUAAGAGUAGGAUUUCUUUAAGGGGGAGUUUUGUUUAGUCAAAGGAAAAGCAUUUGAAACAGGGGGAGAAAAUUUCAAAUCUUGAAAAUGCUUCUCAAAAUCCUACUCAUAUACCUUCGACUAUUUGCAAAAAAAUUUUGAAAAAGAAUUUCCAAAGCAUUGCAAAACAAAACAAGUGGUGCAAGCAUGGUCCAAAAAUUUAAAUAAGAAGAAAGCCAUCCAUGCAUAUCUUAUGAAAUGUAAAUUGGUUUAAUUCUAAGCAACCUUCGCACUUACCUUAUGCAAACUAGUUCAAUUAUGUAUUCAUAUAGUUGCUUUGGUUUGUGUUGGCAUCAAUCACCAAAAAGGGGGAGAUUGAAAGGGAAAUAGGGUCAAACCUUUUCCUAAAUGAUUUUGGUGGUUGAAUUGCCCAACACAAAUAAUUGGACUAACUAGUUUGCUCUAGAUCAUACAUUCUAUAGGUGCCAAAGGUUCAACACAAACCAAUCAAAAGAACAAGUUAGGCUUCAAAAGAAAGGUGCAAAAAGGAAACCGAAGUGUGCCCUAGUCUGGCGCACCGGACAGUGUCCGGUGCCCCAGGGUGAAUCAGCGCAAACUCCUCAGCUUCGGGUUUCCAAGGCGCAGCUCCGCUAUAAUUCACCGGACAGUCCGGUGUGCCACCGGACUGUCCGGUGCACCAGUGGGGCAACGGCUACCUGCGCGCAAUGGUCGUCUCUGCCACCGGACUGUCCGGUGCACCAGUGGGGCAACGGCUACCUGCGCGCAAUGGUCGUCUCUGCAAAGUGAAUAGUGCAAUUCAGUUGUCAGAGCAGAUGGUCAGAGGGCACCGGACUGUCCGGUGCCGCAUGAGGACAAAGCCUCCAACGGUCGACCAGCUCCAAGUCCUAACAAGAGGAUGACGUGGCGGCGCACCGGACACUGUCCGGUGGCACACCGGACUGUCCGGUGUGCCCUUCGCUAGCAGCCUUCUCGAACGGCUACAAUUUGGUUAGUGGGUAUAAAUACCACCCCAACCGGCCACUUCAAGGUGUGGGAGCCCAAGCAACAUUCCAAGUCAUCGAGUUGACAUAUUCAAGCCCUCCCGACCACCUCUAUUCAUUGAUCCAUCCUAUACACAAGAUUUAGACCACUACAACCAACACAAGUGCCACAAAAGAGAGAGCAAGCAAGAGAGAGCUACUCAUUUGAGUUUAGCACUAGUGCCUUGUGAGAUUCAUUGAGAGAUAAUGUGUGCUACAUCUUUGUGUUCAUUUGUGCGUGGAGUUUUGACUCCCAUUGAACUUCCUCCAAAGUUUUGGAGGCUUGUAAAGCUAGCAAGAGACACCAAAGAGUGUGGUGGUCCUUGCGGGGUCUUAAGUGAUCCUUGAGAAGAAGAAGAGCUCGCCGGUCUUGUGUGAUCGGUGGAGAGAGGGAAAGGGUUGAAAGAGACCCGUCCUUAGUGGACUCCUCAAUAGGGACUAGGCCUUCGAGGGCCGAACCUCGGUAAAACAAAUCACUCGUGUCUCGUGUGCUUGUUGCUUGUGAUUUGUUUGUUCUUUCCCUUUCUAAGUUUUUCUUGCACUAUUCUUGCUAAUACUUGUCGGGGACAAUAAUUAGGGGUACCCCCAAGACUCCUAAUCUCAGCUGGUAACCCCCAUCAGCACAAAGCUGCAAAGGCCUGAUGGGUGCGAUUAAGUCAAGGCUCGAUCUACUCAAGGGACACGAUCUCGCCUCGCCCGAGCCCAGCCUUGGGCAAGGGCAGCCAACCCCGGAGGGUUUACGUCUCGCCCGAGGGCCCCCUCAAGCAACGGACACACCUUCGGCUCGCCCGAGGCCCAGUCUUCGCCAAGAAGCAACCUUGGCCAAAUCGCCACGACGACCGACCGUAUCGAGGGCCCCCUCAAACAACGGACACACCUUCGGCUCGCCCCCCGGCUUUUCCCCCCUUCGCGCUCCGUCUCGCGCCGACCCAUCUGGGCUGGGGCACGCGGCGACAAUUUACUCGUCGGUCCAGGGACCCCCCGGGGUCGAAACACCGACAGUUGGCGCGCCAGGUAGGGGCCUGCUGCGUGUUGACGAACAGCUUCCCGUCAAGCUCCAGAUGGGCAGUCUCCAGCAACCUUUCCAGCCCAGGACGGUGCUCCGUUUCGGGAGUCUUGAGUUCAUGUCCCUCGAUGGCAGCUACGACAUGAUACUCCUUCCCCCGCCGCGCGACAACGACAAUGGCGGCCGACAACCCGCCUGCCGACGGCGGAAUCGACGACGUCUUCCCCACGUGGCGGAAGAACAACAUACAGGUUUGUCCCGUCGCCUCCCCCGCCAACAGAGGAGGAGGCGGGGCAACCAAGGCCAAGCAGGAGGCGGCACCUCGUCGGCUGUCGAGCGAGUCGACGGCGCCGGCGCCCCAACGGGGGACACGUCGGGCAUCGACUUUGCGUCUGAGACGAAGACGAGCGCCGUCUCCCCGCAACACGCCAACUCCAAGCAGACGGACGACGCCAGCACGCUCGCAAAAGACUUGCUGGGUGUCACCCUCAUACCUGAGACGGCGGUGCAGUCUGCCCCUGACGUGACUUCGUCACCGCCCGUCGACCAAGAGGUACUGACCGAUUCCCAUCUCGUGCCUUUUGGAUUCAGCCUCGACCCACCAAGCAACUUCGCUUCGGUGGACGCUUUCAUAGAGGCGAGUCCAAACCCUCCGGGGUACGGUAUGCGGUCACCCUGGGACUGGCUGGCAGCCGUCUCGACCUACGGGCCCUCGGGUUCCGAGGAAGAUGACAAGCCCAACUUUUGUUGGGAUUUCUCUGGACUUGGCAACCCCAGUGCCAUGCGGGACUUCAUGACCGCAUGCGACUACUGCCUUUCCGAUUGUUCCGACGGUAGCCGCAGCUUCGGCGACGAGGACUGCGGCCCAAGUCGUGAAUGUUUCCACGUCGAUCUAGGGGGUCCCGGCGAAGGCAACCAUCUUGGUAUACCGGAAAACGGUGAUCCCCCUAGGCCUGUGCCUCGCGUUGACAUCCUUCGGGAGCUAGCUGUGGUCUCAGUCCCUGCGGGGGGUCAGGACACACAUCUUGAGCAAAUCCGCGAGAUGCAGGCCAGGCUCGACGAGGGAGCAGGAACACUUGAGCCGUUCCGCCGGGACAUCGGGCAGGAAUGGGCGGGCCAACCUCUGGCCAGAGAAGCGCGUCACCCACCCCAGGGCAUCCAGUACCGCAUCGCCGACGAUGUCAGGGCAAGGCCGCCACCGGCUUCCAGUGGGGUCGGCCAAAACCUGGCUGCAGCGGCAAUACUUAUGCGCGCGAUGCCGGAGCCAUCAACCACCGAGGAUGCCGCGGUUCGACGGGCCAAAAGCUCUGCCUCCCGAAGGCAGGGGUACCCCUCGGAACAUCGCGCCGCGACUUCCCGAUUCAUGCGGGAAGCCUCGGUCCACACCGGGCGCACGCGCAACACAGCGCCUGCGGCCCCGGGUCGCCUCGGCAAAGAGCACCAUCACCGCAACCGUCGAGCCCACCUCGACAAGAAGGUGCACCGAGGCUACCACCCCAGGCGUGGGGGACGCUACGACAGCGGGGAGGAUCGGAGUCCCUCGCCCGAACCAUCCGGUCCGCAGGCUUUCAGCCAGGCCAUACGACGGGCGCCGUUCCCGACCCGGUUCCGAACACCGACUACUAUCACAAAGUACUCGGGGGGAGACGAGACCGGAACUGUGGCUCGCGGACUAUCGGCUGGCCUGCCACCUCGGUGGAACGGACGAUGACAACCUCAUGAUCCGCAACCUGCCCCUGUUCCUCUCCGACACCGCUCGAGCCUGGCUGGAGCAUUUUCCUCCGGAGCAGAUCUCCAACUGGGACGACCUGGUCCAAGCCUUCACCGGCAACUUCCAAGGCACGUACGUGCGCCCUGGGAACUCCUGGGAUCUCCGAAGCUACCGCCAGCAGCCGGGAGAGUCUCUCCGGGACUACAUCCGGUGAUUCUCGAAGCAGCGCACCGAGCUGCCCAACGUCACUGACUCGGAUGUCAUCGGCGCGUUCCUCGCCGGCACCACCUGCCGCGACCUGGUGAGCAAGCUGGGUCGCAAGACCCCCACCAGGGCGAGCGAGCUGAUGGACAUCGCCACCAAGUUCGCCUCUGGCCAGGAGGCGGUUGAGGCCAUCUUCCGGAAGGACAAGCAGCCCCAGGGCUGCCAGCUGGAAGAUGUCCCCGAGGCGUCCACUCAGCGCGGCACCAAGAAGAAAGGCAAGAAGAAGUUGCAAGCGAAACGCGACGCCGCCGACGCGGACCUUGUCGCCGCCGCGGAGUACAAGAACCCUCGGAAACCUCUCGGAGGCGCCAAUCUCUUCGACAAGAUGCUCAAGGAGCCGUGCCCCUAUCAUCAGGGUCCCGUCAAGCACACCCUUGAGGAGUGCGCCAUGCUUCGGCGCCACUUUCACAAGGCCGGGCCACCUGCGGAGGGUGGCCGGGCCUGCGACGACGAUAAGAAGGAGGAUCGCAAGGCAGGAGAGUUCCCCGAGGUCCACGACUGCUUCAUGAUCUACGGUGGGCAAGUGGCGAACGCCUCGGCUCGGCACCGCAAGCAAGAGCGUCGGGAGGUCUGCUCGAUAAAGGUGGCGGCGCCAGUCUACCUAAACUGGUCCGACAAGCCCAUCACCUUCGACCAGGGCGACCAUCUCGACCGCGUGCCGAGCCCGGGGAAAUACCCGCUCGUUGUCGACCCCGUCAUCGGCAACGUCAGGCUCACCAAGGUCCUCAUGGACGGAGGCAGCAGCCUCAACAUCAUCUACGCCAAGACCCUCGGGCUCCUGUGGAUCGAUCUGUCCUCGGUCCGGGCAGGCGCUGCGCCUUUUCACGGGAUCAUCCCCGGGAAACGCGUCCAGCCCCUCGGACAACUCGAUCUACCCGUCUGCUUUGGGACACCCUCCAACUUUCGAAGGGAGACCCUAACGUUCGAGGUGGUCGGGUUUCGAGGAACCUACCACGCAGUGCUGGGGAGGCCAGGCUACGCCAAGUUCAUGGCCGUCCCCAACUACACCUACCUCAAGCUCAAGAUGCCGGGCCCCAACGGGGUCAUCACCGUCGGCCCCACGUACCGACACGCGUACGAAUGCGACGUGGAGUGCGUGGAGUACGCCGAGGCCCUUGCCGAAUCCGAGGCCCUCAUCACCGACCUGGAGAGCCUCUCUAAGGAGGCGCCAGACGUGAAGCGCCUCGCCGGCAACCUCGAGCCAGCGGAGACGGUUAAAUCCGUCCCUCUCAACCCCAGCAACGACACCUCCAAGCAGAUCCGGAUCGGCUCCGAGCUCGAUCCCAAAUAGGAAGCAGUGCUCGUCGACUUUCUCCACGCAAACGCUGACGUUUUCUCGUGGAGUCCCUCGGACAUGCCCGGCAUACCAAGGGAUGUCGCCGAGCACUCGCUGGAUAUCCGAGCUGGGGCCCGACCCGUGAAUCAGCCUCUGCGCCGAUUCGACGAGGAAAAGCGCAGAGCCAUAGGCGAGGAGAUCCACAAGCUAAUGGCGGCAGGGUUCAUCAAAGAGGUAUUCCAUCCCGAAUGGCUUGCCAACCCUGUGCUUGUGAGAAAGAAAGGAGGGAAAUGGCGGAUGUGUGUAGACUACACUGGUCUAAACAAAAGCAUGUCCAAAAGUUCCCUACCCUCUGCCUCGCAUCGAUCAAAUCGUGGAUUCCACUGCUGGGUGUGAAACCCUGUCUUUCCUCGAUGCCUACUCAGGGUAUCACCAAAUCAGGAUGAAAGAGUCCGACCAACUCGUGACUUCUUUCAUCACACCUUUUGGCAUGUACUGCUAUGUUACCAUGCCGUUUGGUUUGAGGAAUGUGGGUGCGACAUACCAAAGGUGCAUGAACCACGUGUUCGGCGAACACAUUGGUCGAACGGUCAAGGCCUAUGUCGAUGACAUCAUAGUCAAGACGAGGAAAGCCUCCGACCUCCUUUCCGACCUUGAAACGACAUUCCGGUGUCUCAAGGCGAAAGGUGUAAAGCUCAAUCCCGAGAAGUGCGUUUUCGGGGUCCCCCGAGGCAUGCUCUUGGGGUUCAUCGUCUCCGAGCGGGGCAUCGAGGCCAACCCGGAGAAAAUCGCGGCCAUCACCAACAUGGGGCCCAUCAAGGACUUGAAAGGCGUACAGAGGGUCACGGGGGAUGCCUUGCGGCUCUGAGCCAUUUCAUCUCGCGCCUCGGCGAAAGAGGCCUGCCUCUGUACCGCCUCUUAAGAAAGGUCGAGUGCUUCACUUGGACCCCUGAGGCCGAGGAAGCCCUCGGGAACCUGAAGGCGCUCCUCACGAAUGCGCCCAUCUUGGUGCCCCCUGCGGCCGGAGAAGCCCUCUUGAUCUACGUCGCCGCUACCACUCAGGUGGUCAGCGCCGCGAUCGUGGUUGAGAGACGGGAAGAAGGGCAUGCAUUGCCCAUCCAGAGACCGGUCUACUUCAUCAGUGAGGUACUGUCCGAAACCAAGAUCCGCUAACCACAAAUUCAGAAGCUGCUGUACGCGGUGAUCCUGACGCGGCGGAAGUUGCGACACUACUUCGAGUCUCAUCCGAUGACUGUGGUGUCAUCCUUCCCCCUGGGGGAGAUCAUCUAGUGCCGAGAGGCCUCGGGUAGGAUUGCAAAGUGGGCGGUGGAAAUCAUGGGCGAGACAAUCUCGUUCGCCCCUCGGAAGGCCAUCAAGUCCCAAGUCUUGGCGGACUUUGUGGCUGAAUGGGUCGAUACCCAGCUCCCAACAGCUCCGAUCCAACCGGAACUCUGGACCAUGUUUUUCGACGGGUCGCUGAUGAAGACAGGGGCAGGCGCGGGCCUGCUCUUCAUCUCGCCCCUCGGGAAGCACCUACGCUACGUGCUACUUCUCCAUUUCCCGGCGUCCAACAAUGUGGCCGAGUACGAGGCUCUGGUCAACGGGUUGCGCAUCGCCAUCGAGCUAGGGGUCCGACGCCUCGACGCUCGCGGUGACUCGCAGCUCGUCAUCGACCAAGUCAUGAAGAACUCCCACUGCCGCGACCCGAAGAUGGAAGCCUACUGCGAUGAGGUUCGGCGCCUGGAAGACAAGUUCUACGGGCUCGAGCUCAACCACAUCGCCCGACGACACACCGAGACUGCGGACGAGCUGGCUAAGAUAGCCUCGGGGCGGACAACAGUUCCCCCGGACGUCUUCUCCCGAGACCUGCAUCAACCCUCCGUCAAGACCGACGACGCGCCCGAGCCCGAGAAGGCCUCGGCUCAGAGGCACCCUCGGCCCAGCCCGGGGCACCCUCGACCCCGAGGGUGAGGCAUUGCGCGUCGAGGAGGAGCGGAGCGGGGUCACGCCUAAUCGAAACUGGCAGACCCCGUAGCUGCAAUAUCUCCACCGAGGAGAGCUACCCCUCGACCGAGCCGAAGCCCGGCGGUUGGCGCGGCGCGCCAAGUCGUUCGUCUUGCUGCGGGACGGGGAGGAGCUCUACCACCGCAGCCCCUCAGGCAUCCUCCAGCGAUGCAUAUCCAUCGCCGAAGGCCAGGAGCUCUUACAAGAAAUACACUCGGGGGCUUGCGGUCAUCACGCAGCGCCUCGAGCCCUUGUUGGAAACGCCUUCUGACAAGGUUUCUACUGGCCGACCGCGGUGGCCGACGCCACUAGAAUUGUCCGCACCUGCCAAGGGUGUCAAUUCUAUGCGAGGCAGACACACUUGCCCGCUCAGGCCCUGCAGACGAUACCCAUCACCUAGCCGUUUGCUGUGUGGGGGCUGGACCUCGUCGGCCCCUUGCAGAAGGCACCCGGGGGCUACACGCACCUGCUGGUCGCCAUCGACAAAUUCUCCAAGUGGAUCGAGGUCCGACCCCUAAACAGCAUCAGGUCCGAACAGGCGGUGGCGUUCUUCACCAACAUCAUCCAUCGCUUUGGGGUCCCGAACUCCAUCAUCACCGACAAUGGCACCCAGUUCACCGGCAGAAAGUUACUGGACUUCUGCGAGGAUCACCACAUCCGGGUGGACUGGGCCGCCGUGGCUCACCCCAUGACGAAUGGGCAAGUAGAGCGUGCCAACGGCAUGAUUUUGCAAGGACUCAAGCCACGGAUCUACAACGACCUCAACAAGUUCGGCAAGCGAUGGAUGAGGGAGCUCCCCUCGGUGGUCUGGAGUCUGAGGACAACGCCGAGCCGAGCCACGGGUUUCACACCGUUCUUUCUAGUCUAUGGGGUCGAGGCCAUCUUGCCCACAGACUUAGAAUACGGUUCCCCGAGGACGAGGGCCUACGACGACCAAAGCAAUCGCGCUAACCGAGAAGACUCACUGGACCAGCUGGAAGAGGCUCGGGACAUGGCCUUACUACACUCGGCGCGGUAUCAGCAGUCCCUGCGACGCUACCACGCCCGAGGGGUUCGGUCCCGAGACCUACAGGUGGGCGACUUGGUGCUUCGGCUGCGACAAGAUGCCCGAGGGCGGCACAAGCUCACGCCUCCCUGGGAAGGGCCAUUCGUCAUCGCCAAAGUUCUGAAGCCCGGGACGUACAAGCUGGCCAACAGUCAAGGCGAGGUCUACAUCAACGCUUGGAACAUCCGACAGCUACGUCGCUUCUACCCUUAAAGAUGCUUUCAAGUCGUUCGUACACCUCAUUCACACACAAAGUCUAACCAUCAAGGAAGGGUCAGCCUUGCCUCGGCAAAGCUCGACCCUCCCUCGGGGGCUAGAAGGGGGGAACCCCCUCCGUGUCAAAAUUUUCCUCGGAAAAGAUCUUUUCUGCCAGGACGUCUUUCGUGCUUUUCGGCUACUUCGAAAGUGGGAUCCUGAAAACGACAGAGUACAUGUAAGCAGCCAAGGCUGACCGAGCCGAGGGACUCCUACGCCUCCGGGAUACGGAUACCUCACUCAUCACCUUCUACGAUAAGUAACUCACGCUCGGAUAGGUGAUUCCGCGGACCGAACAAGUCUUCACGCUCGAAAACUCUUCUGCCGAAACGAUUUUUCAGGCCUUCUCGACUAUAUCGAUAGCAGAAUCCUACGAACGAGUAAGAGUACACGUAAGCGGCAAGGCCGACCGAGCCGAGGGACUCCUACGCCUCCAGGAUACGGAUACCUCACUCAUCACCUUCCGUGAAAAGUAACUCUCGCUCGGACAAACAAUUCUGUUACCGACAAAUAAGUCCAGAUACUCGAAACAAGAGGAAAAGAAACACAACUUUACAACACGACGACAGUAUGUUUGGGCCUCGGCGGCCGCAGAAAACAUACGCACACUACAAGAUAAACCGAUCCUGCAGGCUUGGACCUCGACGGAGGGGGAGUAGCAGCACCCUCGGCGUCAACUACACCUUCGGCGAAGUCCGAUCUAGCCUCGGACGGCAACGCGGUCGGAGGAUCUCCACUCCGAAGGACGACAGCAGCGCCGCGCCCGGGCCAUCGCCGCCAGGGUCUUCUCCAGGAAUCCGGCUCGAGCAAACAAGCUCGGCCGGACACCCCAAAGCCUCAGCCAGCUAUCCCCCGAGGACAUCAGCCCGGCUCGUGGCCUCGGCAACUCGACUCCGGCGUCGGUCCCGCCAGUGGACGGCCCGGCCAGGCUCCGACUGACGAAGUCUUCUUUUCGAGCCAACUCCGCCUCUGUCCGUGCUGACACCGCUGCCUCCGGCUUCGGCUCAUCGAAGAGCGGCCGAGGGAUCCUUUGACUAAGCAAGAGAAGCCUUGGGCGGCAAGGCCGACCGAGCCGAGGGACUCCUACGCCUCCGGGAUACGGAUACCUCACUCGUCACCUUCACACGAGGCAACUCACACUUGGUUGAGCGGUUCAGUUAGCCGACAGGCGAGUCCUAGUGCUCGAAAUAAGGAAAAACACGGCUCCGUGCCGAGAAUACAUACAUGUUCAGGCCCCGACAGCCACAAUGAACAGACACCGGUACUCAAGGUGCCAUUACAAACGGAACUCCGGUUCCAUCCCCGCGGGUAUGAACAACCUCCACACCGGGUAGCCUGCGAGGCGACAAGCUCCGGGCGACUCGCCAGCGACCUCUGCAGCAGCAGUUAUGGUCCCAGGACGGACGCAACCACCGGAAGGCUCUCGUUCGCGUCCCCGCUCAAGGGAAGCGAACCAGACAUUAAAGCCAAAGAGCCGGAGGUCGGUCCGUAGGCAGCGCUGACAGCUUCGACGGUGGGGAAGCUUUCUCCAGCUACCACCACGUCAGCACCGAUGGUGGCGUCCACCCCUCCACCAACGCCACACCUGCGAGCGCGGGCCGCUCCAAAGCGCACCGGCAGGUCCUCGCUCUCGUCCUCUGCCACGAAAGCGAGGAGGAGGACGAAAUGUUGCAUCCUAGCUGGGCAGCAACAGUUCGCCUUCCCCGGCAUGGCUGGAGGACGCCUCCUCCGCAGAGCUGGAGGAUGGUUUCCACCACCAGAAGCUGGAAGAGGAGGUGGCCAGCCGACCCGUGCGGGAGGUAGAGCCCCGGCUCACCUCGCUCUCCGCCCCAGCCAGGAUGAUGAAGAUCCUUGAAGCUGAGGGCGGGACCAAGAUCGCAACCCGGCUCGCUUCUCCCCACCAUCGAACUGGUGGUCACCGUCUUGGGUGACCGCCGGCGAGGGGAUGCGGCCGGGCUGCCUGAUGAAAAUCCUUGAACCCGAACGAUGGCUGGAAGGUACCAACUUCCAUGAAGUUGUGUUCCCCCAACGACAAGGCGGAAGGACCGCGAGUGUCCCCCAUCCGGGGGCUUGGAAGGUGGAAAGACGCGAUGCAUAAGGGGAGCGCGAAGACAUGGUUGCCUUUCAAGGGGUCACCCUCCUUUUAAAGGCAACUCUCCCCACUUGCGUCCUCAGCCGUCACGGGCUGAGUCUUCUCCAACACGCUCCAAAGUCCUCCCCCUACGACACGGGGGCUGGGUCCCACGCGUCAUGCAAGCUGGCCCAGGGCAGAAGAAGCCAAACCGCCACGCGCUGUGCGCGCAACUGCCCAGCGGUUACAAGCAUUCCUCCACUUUCGCCCAGACCAGCGGGUGAAAGGGAGGACCGCCAUGCAGGCGGCAUGCAACCGCACCAAGGGGGCGCACCCUUUCGACUUCAACGCGUCCAGCAUGGUGGCCCAGGCCCACACGUCAUGUAACCGGUGCGCCGGUUGCUACGUGCAAGAAACUGCACCGCCACUCGCGCCACUACCGUGCCUCCUCGACUGCGGAACCAGUACCGCGACUCGAGGCAACCCUGCGCACGACCCAACAGUGCCAACCAGGCACAUCGGUCACGGGUCAGUCAGCCGCGGGAGAAGGCGUGAUGGUCGAUACGGCCAGAAAUGGGCCGACAGUAAUGGCAGUGGCAGGCGGGCGGAAGCAGCGGUCAAGUCGUCAGCCAACCUCACGUCCCCUCCUUGGACAACGAGAGAACCCUCUCCCAUGGCGUGAAGACGGCGCGCCCGUGUUCCGUUCCUCGAACGGCUCGCGCACGCGCAACGGCUGCCCCGCGAACCACUCGUCCCGUCGCAUUAACUCUGCGGCAGGACAGGCGGCGCCUUUGGCAGGCGAACCAGGCGACGCUUCACCUCCGCCAUAAUGACAGCGUCAAAAAAGGUGUGCCACGUCAUCCGAUUUCGUAUCCUUUUUCUCUUCCUCUUUCUCUCUCUUACAACAGGGACCGGGAAAGGGGAUACCCCGAAAGGGAUGCUUCUCCGCGAAGGAAACGGGCCCCGAGCCCCCCUACUAAUCAGAGGUUCGAAGCCUGGCCCCUCGGAGGGGUUCAACAGCCGCCUCAGAGCGCUCGGACUCCGUGCCCGCUACUGGUCAGAGGUUCGAAGGCCGGCCCCUCGGAAGGGUUCAACGGCCGCCUCAGGCCACUCGGGCUCCGCGCCCACUACUGAUCAGGGGUUCAUAGGCUGGCCCUCGAAGGGUUCACAGCCGCCUCAAACACAGAGUGAGGGAUGACCCUGGGUACGUUCGAUACAUAACCAAGGCUCGGGCUACGCUCCUGAGGUACCCUAGGACAUUUCCGAGACCAACGGGAAUGAUUUUAUAACGGAAUCCCAUCAGAGGGAGGCAUCGAGCCCUCGGACCCCGUCAAAAGGGGACCGGGUCCGGCAAAUCACCCGCAGGUACUUUUGGAGCGCGCCUCCGGGCCUCUAGCCGACCCCUAACAAAUGGGGCACGGGCGUCCACUCGGAUUACCCGUUAGCAGCUCACUGGAGACACCAUGUUCGGCGCCCUCCAAGGGCAACAUGGCGCUUUUCCCCCUCCUCCUUGCGGAAAGGCGACGCAGGGGCGUAUGUAAAAAAGUCGAGUCUGUCCUUGACCGUCCUCUCGCUCUGUGCGGAGGCUCGGGGGCUGCUCUCGCAAACCCGGCUCCGGCCAAACCAUUGACAGCGUCAACAUACCAGCCCGAGAACUUGGGACCCGACCGUGCACCCGGGCUACGGCCAGCUCGCAUGAGGGAACAACCAGACCGGCCGAAGCAUCGCGAAACGCAUUAAGACCUCGAAGGAGUCAAACCACUCCUCCGAGGCCUCGGGGGCUACACCCGGCGGGUGCGCUCGCGCGCACCCACCGGAACAAAACGCAACCGAGAAAGGCUGGUCCCCUUGCAAAAAAGUGCGACAAAAGCCUCCAAGCGAGUAUUAACACUCCCUUCGAGGCUCGGGGGCUACUGUCGGGGACCAUAAUUAGGGGUACCCCCAAGACUCCUAAUCUCAGCUGGUAACCCCCAUCAGCACAAAGCUGCAAAGGCCUGAUGGGUGCGAUUAAGUCAAGGCUCGGUCCACUCAAGGGACACGAUCUCGCCUCGCCCGAGCCCAUCCUCGGGCAAGGGCAACCGACCCCGGAGGGUUUACGUCUCGCCCGAGGGCCCCUCAAGCAACGGACACACCUUCGGCUCGCCCGAGGCCCAGUCUUCGCCAAGAAGCAACGUUGGCCAAAUCGCCACGACGAUCGACCGUAUCGCAGGAGCAUUUAAUGCAAAGAUGGCCUGACACCUUAUCCUGACGCGCGCCCUUCAGUUGACUGAGCCGAAGUGACCGCAGUCACUUCGCCGCUCCACUGACCAGUCUGACAAGAAGACAGCGCCGCCCGCGUCGCUCCGACUGCUGUGCCACUCGACAGAGUGAGGCUGAUAGCGGCCAAGUCCGGCCUCGGGCGCCAUAGGAAGCUCCGCCUCGCCCGACCCAGGGCUCGGACUCGGGCUCGGCCCCGGAAGACGACGAACUCCACCUCGCCCGACCCAGGGCUCGGACUCGGGCUUGGCCCCGGAAGACGACGAACUCCGCCUCGCCCGACCCAGGGCUCGGACUCGGGCUCGGCCCCGGAAGACGACGAACUCCGCCUCGCCUGACCCUAGGGCUCGGACUCGGCCUCGGCCUCAGCCGACGGUCUCCGUCUCGCCCGACCCAAGGGCUCGGACUCGACCUCGACCUCGGAAGAAAGACUCAACCUCGGCCUCAGAGGAGCCUCCGCCUCGCCCAACCUAGGGCUCGGACCGACCACGCCACAGGAGGAGCCAUCAUUACCCUACCCCUAGCUAGCUCUGGCUACAGGGAACAAGACCGGCGUCCCAUCUGGCUCGCCCCGGUAAAACAAAUAAUGAUGGCGCCCCACAUGCUCCAUGACGACGGCGGCUCUCAGCCCCCUUACGGAAGCAAGGAGACGUCAGCAAGGACUCGACAGCCCCGACAGCUGUCCUUCCGCCAGGCUCCAACGCUCCUCCGAUGGCCACGACACCACAUGAACAAGGUGCCAAAACCUCUCUGGCUGCCACGACGGCAUGUACUUAGGGCACUAGCUCCUCUCUGCUAGACACGUUAGCACGCUGCUACAUCCCCCAUUGUACACCUAGACCCUCUCCUUACGCCUAUAAAAGGAAGGUCUAGGGCCCUCUUACAGAGGGUUGGCCGCGCGGGGAAGGACGGGACGGCGCGUGCAUAGGCCUCUCGCUCCCUCCCGCGCGGACGCUUGUAACCCCCUACUGCAAGCGCACCCGACCUGGGCGCGGGACAAACAUGAAGGCCGCGGGUUCCCCCUUUUAUGCCUGUCUCCCUCCGGCUUUUCCCCCCUUCGCGCUCCGUCUCGCGCUGACCCAUCUGGGCUGGGGCACGCGGCGACAAUUUACUCGUCGGUCCAGGGACCCCCCGGGGUCGAAACGCCGACAAUACUAUUUUGUGUUGCUUUAAGUUAAAUCCUCAUUUAGUGAAGCAACACCUUGCAAGAAAGAACUUGUGUUACUGCUCUUCUUAUCUAAGCCCUCUUGAUUUAUUCUCAUAGACUUAUUAGUAGUAUUGAUUUAUCAAUUCCGCAUUAUUUGAAAGCAAUACUCCUUACAAGCGAAGGACUUAGUUUUUAUACUCCGACAAUUGUAUAUCUUGUUCUAACCACUAAUCAAGGGAUCUAGUUGGGGUGUAAAGUUAUAUAUUUCAGGUUUUGCCUAUCCACCCCCCUCUAGGCGACUUUUAGUGGCUACACUCUAGAUCAUGCCCAGUACAUUUUCUUCUUCGAUGAAGGCAAGUGAAUGUAGCGGUGGUUGCUACCGUUUUGACCUGUUACUUCUAUCACCUACACUCUAAUAUUCAGAAUUAUUGGAUUCUUUCAUAAUUGAACUAUAUGAUGAUGUUUUACUUGAUUGUAUUAUAUUGAUGAUGAUUAUGGUUCGAGUAUGACCCAUGAGAUUAAUUCACACCCCUGAAGCCAGAUGAAGCAUUAAUUGAGGUUGGUAUUGUGUCUAAAGGCAGAUGAAGUAUUAAUUGAGGUUUGUAUUGUAACUGAAGGAAGUGUAGCUUAUUGAUAAAUGCAGUAUGCCAUAUACAUUGCAUGACUCAUUUGCGUCUGAAGUUUUGUUGUGACCUAUGGUCCGACAGUACCGGUACAACUUAGCAUCGUACGUUGCCCGAGGAGGGGUACGAUGCGGCUUUAUACCCUUAGAGGUAUGAAGGCAGAGGACAUAUGCAUUGCAUUCAUAUGAAUUCAUUGAAGUGAUAUUUGCAGAUGAUGUGGUUUUAUACCUUCAGAGGUAUGAAGACAGAGGACCUACACAUUGCAUUCUUGUGCAUGUAUUUGCACAGAGUGAUAUUUGCAGGUAUUGUUGACGCAGGGAAGCGUUAUACAACCUAUCGUGGUUGUUCGAGGAAAUGAGAUGAUAUUGGUUAUAUUGGGACUACUGAGUUCUAUAUCUACAAGUAUUUCUGAUCUUAUUUGUGAUUCUUUUAGAAUGUUGAUUAAUUCAAUUUGUGGUUUAAUUAUCUCAUCAAAACAAUUUGCUUGCUGAGAUGUUUCAUCUCACUCUUGUAUUACUCAAUGCAGGUACUUGAUUCAUGUUGGGAAUGAGGGAAGUAGCAGCACGUCCACCUUCACUAUUAUAAUAACGCUGCCCAGUUGCAGCCAUGAUUUAAUUAGAAACCCGAUGUCAAAUGAUGUUUGUAUUUUUUUCUAGUCGUGGUCACUGGUUAAUUCAGUUCAUGUCGUUAUGUUUAACUUCCCUUUGCUAGCAGAUUAAUAAUGCUUAGUAUGCUUUUUGUCAUGAUAUAUGUUUAUACACUGUUGCCCCUUGUUUAUGCAAUUUUUCAAAGGAGAUGCUGCCGAAAUUUUAUAUAUGAAUGUCAGAUGUGUAGUUCAGUAGCAUUCCGAGGUGUUUGUGGACCCCGGGGUGUUACAAUUGGUAUCAAAGCAUAGGCUUUAGAUUCUAAGGCAAUUUGAAGAUAAAUUUGACACACUUGCACAUAUAGGAAGGGUAUGGGUUCGUAUUUCUUUCAUAUUAGUAUUUUAAUGUAUAGAUGACUAGAAUUUCCUUACUCCAAAUUCCUUUAUGGUUUGAUGGGGUAUGUGGUUAACGAAUUAAUGCUUGAUAUGUUACUAUUAUUUAAUAUUGGUUUCUUGAUGUGGUUGUUAUUGAAGUUAUUAUGCAAGUGAAGCUACUAAUGUACUUGUUUUAUAUACAUAUCAUCAUGAUGUUUUUUGGAUGCAAUGUUUUGAAUUAUCUGAGCUAUUACUAUCAUAUAUUUCUAUAUGCUUGACCGUGGAUGUUUUUUUCAAAAAGAUUUUUGGGUUCUAGUACUUGUAGGACCGAUUGUUUAUUGAGCUUGUGUAUAGUGGGUCUAAUCCGACUUGGUGUGGUGUGAAAACACUAUAUAAUGUAGUUUUAUGGUGUUGUUGAGUUUGAUUGACUGUUGGGUUACAACCCAACUUAUCAAUGUAAUAUUUCCAUGGAUGCAAUGCUUUAUGCCUCACCCCUUUUUGGGUAGUGUGGCUACUUGCUAACUUGAUCUUUGUAUACAACCGGUUUGUCUCUAUAGAGCAAAGGCAAUGUUGUACUGUCUAUGAAAUCUUGAGACUGGUAGAACUCAAUUGAAUUUGUAAGAUGACGUGGAUAGAAGUCCAACCAUGUGUUACCUAAUAGGUUUUCUUAUUUUGUGCAACCUUAUUUUAACAAUAAAUAGGGUGGUUUCAAGUGGAUUUUAUGUCUAUAUUAUAGUUGAAGAGGCGUGCAUGUUUUCCUUCUAUGGUUUGUUUCAAUAGCCAUAAAGGCUAUGCAUAAUUUUUAGUUGUUGCAGGCUAGUCAUGUGGACGAUAUUGACAACCCGUUUUAUAUUUUUAUUCGCCGACGAUAUAUGGUAGUUUGAUUUUGUUUAUGAUCAGUUUCUCUAUGCAUGCUUGUUGAAUCAUUAUUUGGACCGCUUUAUCUUCAACGAAGUCAAUGCUUAACUGGGAGUUGCUUAUGUUUGUUAGUCAUCUAUCUCUAUAAUGAUGUGGUUGUUGCAUCAGAUUGAGAUUUUUUCAUAUGAAUGAUGGUUUGAUAGAUCAUGUAUGUCUACUACUUUGAAUGCAUCCUGUGAUAUCACGAGGUACAAAUUCUUCAAGUGCAGUAAUAGGAGGUUUUGUUGUAUGUGAGGUUAAUCAAGGUAGUUUGGUUAUGUGGAUUGUCUUAUUGAAGUCCAAUUACUCAUGUUAAACAUAGUAUCGUGUUAUUAUUUUAGUGUUGAAAGUAAUAUUUAAGAAGCUUUUGCAUGAAUCUGUGUCAAGAAGUACAUUAGUUUUUCUUGUCAUUAUCCCUUCAUUGCUUUAUGAGUCUUGCAAAUUUUAUCUCUUUUGAGAGGAGAAAAAGACGUUAUAUGACAUGAACACCAUUUGCUUCAUGUCAACAUAAUAGUUUGGAGGUCUCUAGUAGUUGGAUUCUAAUGUAAUAACAACCAUGUUUUAUAGUGCUUGAGAGCGGUAUGUGAGGUGUUUCAUACAUUAACGAUAUAUGGAUGUUUGGCCUUAAUGGCAUUAACAAACGAGGUUGUUGAAUUAGAUGAUUGUUGUGCUUAGUGUUCUAACGUACUUGGUGAAGUGUUGUUUAAAGACUAGGGAGCUGCAUCCAAAUUUGAUGAUGGGAAAUCCUAGUGUUGAUUGCAUCUAUGACAAUGCCUUGGGUUUCAUUUUAUAUUAUUUUAUCAUUGUUGUCAAGGUGUAUUGUUUUCUUUGAUAAAUUAGUCUGAGUUAGAGGUUGUUUCAGGAAAAGCUUUUUUUCAAGAUGGCAUCAAUGCUACUAGUAUAUUAUAUGAGUCUAUUUAGGGAGUUUGACUGAGUUUUACCGCUGGUGAAUGUCUUGAUUUGUAGAAAUGGCAGAAUUCGAGGACAGAUUCUUUUAAAAGGGGGGGGGGUAGAAUGUAACGCCCUAAAAAUUAAACCAUACUUAUAAUCCAAAUAUGGUGUGUCCUAUGGAUGAUCGAAGGUCGUAGAUGUAUAGAUCUCAUCAAGAUGGUUCCGAUCAAUCAGUAGUUUGCCUUGUUUGGAGUCCGGAUGAGUCUUUUCGAGUGCCGGUUGAUAUGAGCCAUUGGAUAUUAGGAUUGUGGAAGUUUUCUUCUAUUUAUACCUCCCUAACCCUAGAAGCCACGUCCUCCCACCCCUAGCAUCCAUCACCCUUUUAUGCCUUGCCCCAAGAGAAGAGUUGAAGAAAAAGGGAGAGAAGAGAGGGGAGAUGAGGGCAUAUCGUCGCCCAUCAUCGUCGUUCCUCUCCAAGAAUUGGUGGCUACACUCCAGUCAUGCCCAGUACAUUUUUCUUCUUCGAUGAAGGCAAGUGAAUGUAGCGGUGGUUGCUACCGUUUUGACCUGUUACUUCAAUCGCCUACACUCUAAUAUUCAGAAUUAUUGGAUUCUUUCAUAAUUGAACUAUAUGAUGAUGUUUUACUUGAUUGUAUUAUAUUGAUGCUCUAUCAUAUAUUGAUGAUGAUUAUGGUUCGAGUAUGACCCAUGAGAUUAAUUCACACCCCUGAAGGCAGAUGAAGCAUUAUUUGAGGUUGGUAUUGUGUCUAAAGGCAGAUGAAGCAUUAAUUUAGGUUUGUAUUGUAACUGUAGGAAGUGUAGUUUAUUGAUAAAUGCAACAUGCCAUAUACAUUGCAUGACUCAUUUGCAUCUGAAGUUUUCUCGUGACCUAUGGUCCGACCGUACCGGUACAACUUAGCAUCGUACGUUGCCCGAGGAGGGGUACGAUGCGGCUUCAUACCCUUAGAGGUAUGAAGGCAGAGGACAUAUGCAUUGCAUUCAUAUGAAUUCAUUGAAGUGAUAUUUGCAGAUGAUGUGGUUUUAUACCCUCAGAGGUAUGAAGACAGAGGACCUACACAUUGCAUUCCUGUGCAUGUAUUUGCACAGAGUGAUAUUUGCAGGUAUUGUUGACGCAGGGAAGCGUUAUACAACCUAUCGUGGUUGUUCGAGGAAAUAAGAUGGUAUUGGUUAUAUUGGGACUACUGAGUUCUAUAUCUACAAGUAUUUCUGAUCUUAUUUGUGAUUCUUUUAGAAUGUUGAUUAAUUCAAUUUGUGGUUUAAAUAUAUCGUCAAAACAAUUUACUUGCUGAGAUGUUUCAUCUCACUCUUGCAUUACUCAAUGCAGGUACUUGAUUCAUGUUGAGAAUGAGGGAAGUAGCAGCACGUCCACCUUCACUAUUAUAAUAACGCUGCCCAGUUGCAGCCAUGAUUUAAUUAGAAACUCGAUGUCAAAUGAUGUUUGUAUUUUUUUUCUAGUCGUGGGCACUGGUUAAUUCAGUUCAUGUCGUUAUGUUUAACUUCCCUUUGCUAGAAGAUUAAUAAUGCUUAGUAUGCUUUUUGUCAUGAUAUAUGUUUAUACACUGUUGCCCCUCGUUUAUGCAAUUUUUCAAAGGAGAUGCUGCCAAAAUUUUAUAUAUGAAUGCCAGAUGUGUAGUUCAGUAGCAUUCCAGGGUGUUUGUGGACCCCGGGGUGUUACACGUGGACACACCGACUUGCCUCCGAGUUUUUCCUGAUGUUUCCCUUCUUAUAUGAACUCGAGGAAAGAACAAUUUGGCUGAUCUAAGAUUAGUGUUGGAGAUGACCAUCAUGAAAAAGGAAUCUAGCUUUGAUUGGAGAGAACGCUUUCUAGUGGUGGCACUCAUUUUUGUGCCAAUAAUUGCCCUUCUUAAUCAUGUUUGUAGGUUCACUUGCAUGGAUAUUUAAAUUGUGCUCAUAAUUCUUGGAUUGUAUAGUCAAAGAGGAUAUGACACAGAAUGAUAGGAAUUCACCCACAACAAAGUAGGGAAACCUAUGAGAUGAGGGUGACUUUUUUUCAGUCUUCCAUUCGAUGCAACUGGUAUGCCCACAAACUGUCUUUUAGUAUACAUGAAUUUCAGGUUGCUAAAAUUGCCUUGUUGUUUCAGUUCCUACGUGCUAGAAUGAUUCAAUUGCAUGGAGCAGAGGAGCUGAGAAGCAGAGAGGCAAGCAGUAAGCAGCCUAAUGUUAUUUGAAUGGAAAAGCAAUAUGUGCAAAUUGCAACCAAAAAUGGUUUCUUGGAUUGAAGAGAGGAAAAGGAGAUUGCACAGAACAAAACAGAGCAAUAAGGGUGAGAGUGGGAACUGAACUCUACUGCUAGCACACAUAAUUCACAUAGCUCAGCUCGGAACAAAAAAACAAUCAAAUGCAGUAGUAGUAGAUCAGUAAGUUGUAGGAUGUGGAGCAGACACGGAUGAGUCCGACAGUGUACAACAAUGGAGGGGCGCACGAAGAAAGCUAAUAGUAAAAAAAGAUAUCUCUAAUCUGAGAAAGCGCGUUGGAAAAAAUAGUUAGUACCUGUGAGAACUAAGAAGCGACAAUGUGAAAGCUGAGGUAGCACGAAGAGGGAGGUAGUGAAGCGCGGAGCCUAGCCGCCUGUGACAGUGUCGCAACAAAGAUGACGCGCCAUCUAGGCUUUAUUUUCUUUUUCCAAACGUGAAGCUUGGAACAUUGCCAUUGUUUUGAGAAAGAGAAAAUGCGUCAUUAUAUAUGGAGAGCAAUAGAGUUUCUGUUUUUGGAGAACUAAUUCAUUUUAUAUGGGUGAAAUAUAAAACACUAUAGUAGCAAGUUUGUAAAAUACAUGACAUUGCAACAAAAGUAUUUUAGUGACAAUAAUUGGUGUCUUAAUACCUUGACUUGUUUUAAUUCUGCUAAGCCUAACUUUGAUUCUGUAUUUCUGCUAAUUCUAAAGGGAUGGCGUGGACACACCGACUUGCCUCCGAGUUUUUCCUGAUGUUUCCCUUCUUAUAUGAACUUGAGGAAAGAACAAUUUGGCUGAUCUAAGAUUAGCGUUGGAGAUGACCAUCAUGAAAAAGGAAUCUAGCUUUGAUUGGAGAGAACGCUUUCUAGUGGUGGCACUCAUUUUUGUGCUAAUAAUUGCCCUUCUUAAUCAUGUUUGUAGGUUCACUUGCAUGGAUAUUUAAAUUGUGCUCAUAAUUCUUGGAUUGUAUAGUCGAAGAGGAUAUGACACAUAAUGAUAGGAAUUCACCCACAACAAAUUAGGGAAACCUAUGAGAUGAGGGUGAGUUUUUUAGUCUUCCAUUCGACGCAACUGGUAUGCCCACAAACUGCCUUUUGGUAUACACGAAUUUCAGGUUGCUAAAAUUGUCUUGCUGUUUCAGUUCCUACAUGCUAGAACGAUUCAAUUGCAUGUAGCAGAGGAGCUGAGAAGCAGAGAGGCAGGCAGCAAGCAACCUAAUGUUAUCUGAAUGGAAAAGCAGUGUGUGCAAAUUGCAACCAAAAACAGUUUCUUGGAUUGAAGAGAGGAAAAGGAGAUUGCACAGAACAAAACAGAGCAAUAAGGGUGAGAGUGGGAACUGAACUCUGCUGCUAGCACACAUAAUUCACAUAGCUCAGCUGGGAACAAAAAAAGACAAUCAAAUGCAGUAGUAGUAGAUCAGUAAGUUGUAGGAUGUGGAGCAGACACGGAUGAGUCCAGCAGUGUACAACAAUGGAGGGGCGCACGAAGAAAGCUAACAGUAAAAAAAGAUAUCUCUGGUCUGAGAAAGCGUGUUGGAAAAAUAGUUAGUACCUGUGAGAACUGAGAAGCGGCAAUAUGAAAGCUGAGGUAGCACGAAGAGGGAGGCAGUGAAGCGGGGAGCCUAGCCGCCUGUGACAGUGUCGCAACAAAGAUGACGCGCCAUCUAGGCUUUCUUUUCUUUUUCCAAAUGUGAAGCUUGGAACAUUGCCAUUGUUUUGAGAAAGAAAAAAAAUGAGUCAUUAUAUAUGGAGAGCAAUAGAGUUUCUGUUUUUGGAGAACUAAUUCAUUUUAUAUGGGUGAAAUAUAGAACACUAUAGUAGCAAGAUUGUAAAAUACAUGAC